rnacentral:lncRNA from 1 species
UCUUCAUAUACUUUCAUUAUAAUUAGUACAUACACAAUUAUUUAAAUAAAUAAAUCUGUUUCAGCUAGUACAGGAAAUUAAUUAAUCAAAGCUAGUAGUUAUAGCUAGGAUCUGAAUUACAGAGUUCAAGAGGAGCAUCUGAACAGAAUGAAAGUCCUUUAUAGAAAUGGUAAUGUCGCUUUACCAUUUAGAUAUCUUCUAGAAAGUACUUACAUCACGCAAUUAGGGACCGAUAUUUAAUGACAAUAACAAUCCAAAAGAUUGGGAGGGCCAACUAAAGGAAUAAAUCACUCAACCAAACCCUUAGGGACAGAUAGUUAAUGACAAUAAUAAAAGAUCCAUUCCUAUGCAUACGAGCUUAGUCUAUUAUGUUAAAGAGGCACCCUGUUGUUCGAUAGUCAGCACAACAAGUGAUCAAUGAGGUUGUUGCACAGACUGAUGACAUGGAAUUACGGCUCAGCCCAAGUGGUUCUGUGAUCUGUAGUAGACAAGCUGAGUAGUGGGAUUGGUUAGCUUGAUUUGCUGUGAAUAGUAGCUUAGUUAACAAGUUUGUUAGAUUACUGCAUAUAAAGCAAGCGAACUCUCUGUGUAUUCAUACUGUGAAGUAAAUCAAUCGAUUCAUUUUCUCUCAAAUCUCAAUGGUACUUUCUCUAUUUAAAUUUUAAAAUACCUUUAAUUAGGAUUAAUUAGAUUUUUCGCUUAUUAGGAUAAAAGCGAGAAAAAAGCACAACUACAAAAUUUGAUUGCAAAGUGUAAACCUACAAUUUUUUUGGGUAAAACAUGGAUAGUAAAACAUACAAUUAAAGAAGGAGAUAAAAAGCGUUUAUAUUUCACCUGAUUAGUUUCAGAAUUUGAGUGGUCUCAUCCCCACCAGCCAUUGAAUCGUUGAUAUGAUCACAUGCAUUGUUUUUAGAGGCACACAGGAGAGGUCUAUUUAGCACAACUAGCGUGACAAACGUUUUGCUGCACUCGUAGCAGACACUUGUACGACCGAUCGGGAUGGGUGAUUUCUGUUUUGCAACAACUUUCUGAAAAGUUAUGAAUGAUCACCUUCAACUUUUUUGGCAUCUUCUCUUCCCUGGCAUAAAUUAUAUGUGUUAUGAAUGAAGCACCCUUCAGAGUUCAAGAGGAGCAUCUGAACAGAAUGAAAUCACUUUGUAGAAAUGGUAAUGAUGCUUUACAUCUACAUGCUCUUACACAAUAUGAACUUUCAUUUAUUCAAGAACAUAACACUACCCCAAGCUCUUAUUCUACAAGUCAAUUCAGUUUGUAGAUGCACGCCAUUGUAAAAACUUUUGUAUUAUAAUUUCUGAAAAUAGAACGUAACAUUAUUAAUAUAGAAUCAGCAAUGUAUAUAACUUAUCAGACAAUAUAACAAGCACUUGGUGAGCAUACAAGAUAAACUAAAACAAGCUUUAAACAUAAAAUUAAAGUAAAUCGAAUUGCAAAACAUUAGAAUGGAUGUUGGAAUUAAAGCUAAAUUCAAUAGUAAUUCAAAUGAAUCCAUUUGAACUUUGUAAAUUCCGCAGAACAAAAUUAAUUUGAGAGAGCAAACUCACCAAUGGAACAAGAACACAGGGGCUUCAACUUGUAGGAAUAAAAAAAUAUUGCUGGCCGGACAAAAAUUGACAAUAACGGCUACAAUACGAAUUAAAAAAAAAAUCAAAAUCUAUAAUUACAAGCUAAGUGCGAGAAGAAACUCAUAAUCACAAGCUUAACUCAAAAGAUGAAGGGAGAAUACGAUGAAGAAGAGGAUGGCCAGUGUUUUACGCCGUUCGCCGGCAACCAGUUAGGUUUACGAUGGUGGCUAGUAACACGGAGUCCAGCGAAUAGUAGCAUACCGAACGGCUCUUUACCGUCACGUGGUUAGUAACAUAUGUGACUGCAGUGUGGCCGUCACAUAAAAGGUAUCGGGGUUACAAAGUUAGUGAUAUACGUAAUGGCUGCUUUUGCAUUCACAUUAGGGGUCACAUAUACCCUAUUUUCUUGUAGUACAUGGUAAAUUCUAUUUGAAAAUUGCUAAGUAUUUUAGAUUUGUACGAAUUCAUUUUUGUGUGCUCGUUGGAUAAUAAUUUAUAAUAAAUUAAAUUUUUGGUGUAAUUUUCACAAUAUUGUAUCAUAAAUAUGUCUCGUUGAGAGGUUUUGAAAUCGUUUUGAUUGAUCAUAAUUGAUAUUUCCACAAUUGCAAAAGAUGCCAGAGAAAAUUUGAUUAUCUUAAGAAAUGAGUGUACGAGAUAUGAAAUCAACCAUACCAUAAAAUCAAAUUUUAUCGUGUCAUCCUUCCUAUUUCAAAUUUAUGGAAACAAUAAUCAAAUGCAUCCAUGAAUUAAUAUAUUUCGACAUAUAUACCAUCAAAUUUUUGCUAUGUCAUGCUUACAUAUAUAUAUAUAUAUAUAUAUAUAUAUAUAUAUAUAUAUAUAUAUAUAUAUUGAAAUUUUAUUAACACCAAUUGGGCCAAGCAUGUGUUGGUACUUGAACAUUUAUAAGUCCCAUCCUUGAAAAAAUAAGGCUUGGCUGUUCUCAAUCUAAUUCUUUUUGUUUUAAGUUCUUAAUUAAGCUUUCUUGCUUGUUUUCAAGGGCCAGUUUUGUAAUGAUCUGCAAACAUGAUUUGCAUAUAUUGCACUUGGCAUCUAUGCGUCACUUAUUAAUUAGAUUUAAAUUUUAUAAAUUAAUUAAGCUGAUUAAUACUUUAUAUGUGCACCAAAUGAUAGAUACUACAUAAAUUGGGAUACUAGUAACUACGUAUCCCAACUAUUUAAUAUUUGUUUGUCGCAAAUCCAAUCAUGGCCUGAUAUCCUAAAUAUUAUUUAGGAUACCAUUUCAAGCCCCAUGAGGGCUCUUUCUGUUUUUUUUUUUUUUAAAGUAUGAAAUAGAUGUAGAUUUUUCUUUAGAUAUUAUUAGUGAGAGUACCUUUGGUGGCAAUGGUCCAGCAUGAUUUGGGAUUUGACAAUUCCACUCUCAUCUUAAUUAUCAAAUGGAAUGUAAGUAUCGAUAAACUCGUCCAGUUUAUAUAUUUGUGAUCAAAAUUAGGACCAAUCUCAAACCACUCGCAAUCAUGUCCCAUCCUAACUAUCCUGAAUGUCUCGAAUGCCUCCCUUAAUUAUCAUUUUAAUUCUCGUUAACAUAUUAGCAAAAUUUCCAUAUAUUAAAAAUAUUAGGGUCCGACUAUCUAUACUUUAAAAAUUAUUAUGCACAAUCAAUUAUUUAUGCACUCAUCUAAUAAAUUUAAAAAAUUAAGUUUUACUUUCUACACUUUUUAAAAUAACAAAAACAUCUUUACGUGAACCUAAUAAGUUUCUUGAAAAAAAUUAAAUCAAUUAUUUUUAUUUAUUCAAAAUACUAAUAAAACUAUUCAGGAAAAUUUUUAAGAAAUUUAGCAUAUACAACAUUGAAAUCAAUUUAUGUUUCAAGUAAAUUCUUUAACACGAUUUUAGUUAUUACUUAUUGUUUAUUAAAGUAUGUGUUCACUAUUGUUUUUAAUUUUUUUUUUAAUCAAAAAAGAAGAAGAAGAAGAAGAAGAUGUUUGUGGUUUAAGAUACAUUUAAUUUUUAGUGUAACAGUUGUAUCAAACCAAUAAAAACUAAAAGAUCCAAAAGUCACAAGUUCCAAUACCACCCAAAUGAAAGGCCCCGUUAGGAUUGUUUUUGGGAAGUUCAAAAGUAAUUCUAAAAAUUAAAAACUAAUUUUUAGUGUUUUAUAAAUUUUUUUUGUAAUUACUUUUGGCAAAAUCAUCUCAUCGUACAAUAGAUUUUGUAAAAGUAGGGAAUGAAAAGUUUUUUUAAAUCUAAUUUUGAGAAUCACUUUUAUAUUUAAUCAAAUUCUAUAUAGAUAUCCUCAUUAUAUAAUAAAAAUCUAAAAUUAUCUUUAUUAAUUAAGAAAUAAAAUCAUUAACUUUAAAGAUAUUGUUAUUAUUACCAAUUAUAUUGAGAUAACAAAAUAGAGAAUAAAAUUUAAUAAUAUAAAAUAUUUAUUUUAGUUAUCAAUAAUUAUAUGUAAGUAAUAAAAAUAUUUUAUAUACAUGUUUGUAAAUGUGUAAAUACAAUUCAGUCAUUUACAUUAUUGUAUCAGUUUAACAAUAAAAUUUAUGAAACACAUACGAUAGCUUUUAAAACUAAAAGUACUUUUAAAAAUAAAUUUUACUAAAUGUUUAGCUGAUUCUCUUCACAAUUGAUCAAUUUCUACAACAUAACGAACUGUAAUUAUUUUAAAAGGUACAGGAUUACCAAACUGACCCUAAACCAAACCAAGAAAAAUGUUUAAAAGUAAUAAUAAUAAACCAAAGUAAACGUACAAAAAUUCAUGCAUAAAUUGAUAAUCAACAAAAACAUCCAAAAGUUUUACUCCAAGUUUUCUAUUCAAUUGACAUAACACUUAAAUUUGAAAAGGCAUAAUCAAUUUUGUGUCUAAUCCUAUAAAAUUAGAAAAUUAAAGAAUAUUAUAUUCUUAUAAUUAAAUAAUAUGCAAUUAAUAAUGUUAAAACAUAUUGUGAACUAAAAUGAUUGGGAGAAUUGGAGUUCUAAGAUAAAUUCCUAUCUAAUCCCAAAUCAACAAUUGUGAUUAAUUUCAAUCUUAUACUCCGAUUGCUUUUAAAAUUGGUCCUAAUAAUAUGGACAAAUAUCAUUCUGAUCAGUAUGGAAUCCCAAUCCCAUACCUUUGGAUUUCAAUGGUGUUUAGUUGGAGGGAGGAGAGGGGAAGAAAAUGAAUUCAAAUUCCUUUCACUUUUCUGUUGUUUGGUUUUCACAAAUAUAUGGGAAUUCAAUUUUUAUUGAAAUUUAAUUUUCGUCAAAUUGUGCAUUUUGGAUUCCUCACCGAAGGCUGUAAAAUUCAAAUUCUCCUCCUAUUAGAAAUCAAAUCUUCCAAAAUUGCUCCUCUCAAAUAUUUAUCAAUUAUUUUAAUUCUUAUCAAAUAAUUCUUAUUUAUGAUUUUAUUUUUUCAAUUUAAAUUGUCACCAAGGAGUCUGACUUACUACCAUAGAAAAGCAAAAAAUACAAUUUAUAGAUUAUGAUAAUUCUAUGUAUUGUAUGAGAAUUGCAAUCCAAAAAUUUUCCCUAGAAAACGAAUUUUAAUCGACAGCAAAUCAAUGCUUUCAAAUUUAGUCAGCUGAACUAAUUUUUGUUUUUUUUUGGAUUAAUUUUGAAAUGUUGCAUCCAUAACGAGCUGCUAUUGAAAUUAAUGUUAACAACAAAAAUAGAUGCAAAAGGAGAAACAAGCAUCAUGUGCAGUACCCACUGUGAUCUACUCACAUUGGAAUAAGCCGUUGGCAGCUGGUCUGUUUGGCCAUUAAUAUCUAUUUAUAACUAGGUUUUUUUUUUUUUUUUUGAGAAGAUUUAUAACUGGAAAUUACUCACCGUAAAAUGAUGAAAUGCUUUGAAUAUACCUCCUAGGUCGUAUUUACUAUACUAGUUAGGAAAAAUUACAAUGUUAAAUUAUUUGAUAAAUACUUAUUAUAAUUUGAAAAAUAUGUUAAUUUUGUCCUCCACUGUAUGAUUAAUAAUUUAUAAUAUAUAUAUAUAUAUAUAAUUCAUUCUAUAAUCUUGAACUUUAUUAAAGAUAAAAAAACUAUUACUCUAUAUGAUAUAAUAGUGUGAUGUAAUUACACUACUAUACCAUAUAAAAUAUAUUUACUUUCUUAAAUUUUAAUAAAGUCCAGGUUUUAGGGAGAACCACUUUAUAUAUAUGUAUAUAUAACGAUUCUCUAGUAACGACAUUUUCAUUUUAACAAAAUAAUAAUAUCACUAACAAACUAAAUGACACACAUUUUAAUACAUCAAUAGAUAAAAAAAAUACAGUUUUAUUGUGUUAAAAUAUAUGUCUUUUGUAUAUUAUUGAUAUUUUCACUUUAACAAGUGAAGGUCUCCUCACUAUAGAAGUACUUUAUAAAUAUUUUUUGUAUUUUUAUGAAAAUUAUUAUUUAAAACUGUUUUGUGUAUCUUCGACACAAUAAGGCUUAGCAUUUAAAAGUCAGCAGCCACGCAACUUCUUGAAAUCUUCGUGCAAGUGUUGGAUAUCGACUGUUCGAUAAUGAUGGCAGCAUUGGACUGGACUGUAAUUGACACAAUAAAAUUAGGAUCACAAAUAAGGAUGAAACUAUGUUGCAACAAUUGUAGCAUGCCACUAGAUUUUAUCUUUUUUUUUAAUUAAUUACACUGCACUACCUUAUAUUUUAUGAAAAAAUUGAAUAGACAUUAAAAGUUACAAAAUUUUAUAUAUAAAUCCCUUUUUUUGGGAUAAAAUGGCUUUUCAAAAACAUUUGACUGUUAUUAUUAGUAUUAUUUAUUAAUAUCAUUAUUAUUAUAUUAAUAAGAAUAAUAAUAAUAAUAAUAUUAUCAAAAUUUAUUAUUUUAAUUAUUAUGAUUAUUUUUAAUUAAGUCAUUAUUAUUAUUUAUUAAUUUUAUUACUGUCAUUAAUAUUAAUUUUAUUACUAUUGUUAAAAUAUAUUAAUUUUAUUAUUUUAAUUAAUGUUAAUUAUUGUUAUUAUUAUUUUAUUAAUAUUAAUAUCAUUAAAAUUUAUUUGUUUUAUUAUUUUAAUUGUUAUGUUAUUAUUAAUGUCAUCAACAUCAUCAUCAUCAUCUUUAAACUUUAUAGAUUUUUUUGUUUAAAGUAAUACUAUUGUUAUUAUUAUUAUUUUACCUUAAUUGAACAUUAAAUAUAUUUUUAUUUUUAUUAUAAUAAAUAAAAAUAUAAAAUAAAUUAUACUAUCAUAUUAUUUUAUUAUAUCAUAUUAUAUUUAUAUAAAAUAAUUAAUAUAAAAAUAAUAAUUUAAUAUAAUUAAUAAUAAAUUUAAAUAAUGUUAGUAUAAUAUUAAUAUAAAAUUAAUGCAGUACAAUGUAAUACCAAUUACCAAAUGUUGUACAAAUAUUAUUAUAAUUUAUUACUAAUGUAAUAUAACAUAAUACAAUAUACCUUUAUUGAAUAAUGAAAUACAGUAUAGUAUAAUACAAUAUGUGAAAUGGACCCUUAAUUCUUUGAGUGAUGAUAGUUUAAAGGGAUGUAGAGAAAGUAAAAAUAAUCAUGGUAGAGUCUUUUGCAGUGGUUGAUUAGCCAUCAUCAAAAAAUUUAAGGUAACAUAAUAAAAAUUAAGCAAUCACCCUACAUUUAAAAGAGUAAUUAGAAACCAAUAAAUUUACUAUUCAAUUAUUUUUAAUCAAGAAUAAAUAAUAAAUUAUCAUUACAGCAAGAUUCACAAGCUCAAAUAUCUAUAAAAAAAAGUUAUAAUUCUCAAGAAACAUAAAACUCAAAUGCUUUUGAAGUAUUCUUAAAAAAAUUAAACUAACUUCCUUUUAUGCUAUUCUUUAUUUAUAUGACUUUGUUGGGCUACAUUUAAAAUUUUAAAAAAUUAAAAUGGUUUCCUUAAAUUUCAAGAGUAAUAUUAGUAUUUUAUAGGUAAAUUAACAUAUUUUAUAUACAAAUAAACUAACAUGUCAACUAAUAUUAAAAACAAAAAUGUAAUAAAAAAGUAAAGUUUUGUAAUAUUAAAAUAAUAAAAUUUUAGAACCUAAUACUUUUUACAGUUCCUUAUUUUGAAAUUUCACCUUUUUUAUUUUAUAAUUUUUUGAAGUAUUACAAGGUUAAUAACCUAUAUUCUUUACACAUAUUUAGUUUAUUUAUUCUAUAUUAAAUAUAAUGGGUCCGCCUACCUUGCAACAGUUGCACGGUACCCCAAAUUUUAUAUUUUUCUAAUUCAGCUGAUGAAUCUAAUAUCUAAAGUGUUCAACGGUCAAGGCCGGCUCAACCAUAUUUGGGGCCCUAGGCAAAUGAUUUUAAUUAAUUCUUAUAAAAAAUUAGGGUAAUCUAUGAAAUUUUAAUUCAAUUAUAACAUUUUUACUUAUUGUUCUUUAACUCAAAUUACAUCUUUUUUACUACUCCUUUUCUAGAUUAAACUAAUUUUUCUAUUUUAUAAAGUUUUUCGAUAUAGUUUUAUUUCAAAAUAGAUAAAACAAGCAUACAAAAAAAAAGAGUAGAUGAAUAAAAGAAUAUAUUGAAAAAAAUAAGAAUAAAUAAAUAAAUAACACAACUAAUUAAGAGAAUAAUAAAAAGAUAAAAUCUGGAAUUUGAGAUGAAAUCAUGAAUUAACUUUAUCUUUAUAUUAAUUGUUUGUGGAUUUGAGUAAUGACCAAUAGCCAUAGAGAAUAGAGAAAAUUAUUAGAUUUUUUUCUUCUUCUUGAGUGGAAAGUAGAGGAAGCAUGAUUUUUUCCCUCUCUCUCUUUCUUUCUCUCAAACACUAACAACAUAUCGUGUCUUGAUUAUUGGAGGAAAAAUUUAAUAGAUAAGUAAUAAAAUAUGGGGUUUUUAUAGAGGUUUAAAAUGAAUAUAAUACUUUUUAAUUAUAACAUAUUAAUUCUAACAAUUAAAUAGAGAAUUUGUAGGAUUGAAACUAUUAAUUUAUUGGUUUUGUAGGAAUUAAAACUACUAAGUACUACAUUAAAUAAACUUUAUAGAAAUUUGAUAGUUUAUUUAGGAAAAAGAUAAUUACAAAAUAAUAACAAAUUAAAUGCAUAAUAAUGACUUUUAAAUUCACUUUUCCCUUUUAUAUACAAAAUAAUCAUCUUACGGGGCCUUAAUGUAAAGUGGGGCUCCAGACAACCGCUUAAGUUGCCUAGAGGUCGAGCUGCUACUGUCAACGGUUGAGAUGUGUUCAAUUGGUUAUUAACACUUAAGUCUCUACUGUUUAUUAUAAUAUCAUAAAAACAAAAUUUUUAAAAUAUUUAUUUAUAUAACUCCUAUUGUUUUAAGUUUUUUAAAGUUUGAUCCAUUAGCCAAGCUUGAUCAUAAAAAUGAUUGAUGGUGUAAAGAUAAUAAUGUAAUAUCACAUAAAAUUUUUUUUAAACACAUGAAAAAUUGAUAAAUGUAAAUAUUGUUUUUUUUGGUUAUAUAAUAUAUUAACUUUAUUAUUUUAAUUAAUGUUAAUUAUUGUUUUUAUUAUUUUAUUAAUAAUAAUAACAACUAAUUUGUAUUUUACUUUUAAGGUUGAUUUGAUAAAUUUAAAUUUUUCUUUACAUUAACAUAUCUAAGAAUAUUGUUGCAAGCAUGUUAUUAUAAAAUCAAAGAAAAAUUAAGGGUAGGAUUAUAUUGUGCUUACCGACAAAGGUGUCUUGAGGGACUAAACGGUACUUCAUUCAAAAUAUAGAGACUGAACAAAUAUUUAUCAUUAUUUAAGCUGAAAUAGUGCAUUUUAACUAGUCCCGGGUUUGAUUCAUUGUAAAUAUCAUUUUCCUUCAUGAAAUACCUAUAGAGAAUCAUAAAUUUUGGAGAAAAGGACGUUACACCUAAGUUUUGGGAAAUAGUCAUGUAGACCCCUAAAUUUUUAAUAAGGAAUACGAAUACCUCUUUUGACUAUAAUACAUUUUGACUCUAUUAACUCAAAAAAUUGACUCCUAUGUUUUAUAAUAAAUAGAAAUAUAAUAUUGAAAUAAACAUAAAAUAUUAACAUUUUAAAACAACUUCAAUUUAGGAAAAUAUUUAUAUACUUAAGAAUCUUAUAUUAUAUUAGACUAAAUUUUAUAAUAAAUAAGAACAUAAUAUUAAAAUAAAUUUUAUAAAUUUUUUCAAUAUUAUAUAAAAUAAUUUCAAUAUUAUUACUACAUGAGAUAUAUUUUAUUAAUGAGAUGUGUUUUAUUAAUUUUAAAUUCUAUUUAACCCCAAUGAUUUAUUUGAUAUUUUUAUGAUAAAUAAAAUAUAUUAUUAAAAUAAAUAUAAUGUUUUUAUUUAAAAAAUAUUUUAUAUAUUAAAAAUAUUCUAAUAUUAUUAGUCUAUUAGACAGAUUAAACUAUUUAAGUUAUAUUUAUAUUUAUUAAAAAAUUCUUAAAGUCAUUUUUUUAUUUACUAUGUACAAAAAGUAUUAUAGUCAAAAAGAUAUUUUGGUUACUGAAAAUUGAAAGAUUUACGUGACCAUUUCUUUAAAUCUUGGAGUAUAGGUGUCUUUUCCUAUAGAUAUUAGAAUAAGGGCUACAUGUCUAUAUGUAAAUAGCAAGUAGUGGCGGACCUACAGUUGGACUAGACUGGGUUGUAGCUUGGUCUAGUACAGAAAAAAUCAUUUAUACACCUUGUUUUCUUAUAAUUUUUUUAUAAAAAAGAGUUUUUAUUUUGUUUUCAUAUAUGUCCCUAACUCAAGUAUCCUUAUGUUUUCAUCAAUUUAGUUUAACAAUAGAGUUUUUACUUUAUAUUCAAAUAUUUUCCUAACUCAAUUACCCUUAUAUUUUCAUCAAUUUAGUAUAACAAUUGAGCUAUUAUUUUAUAUUCAAAUAUAUCCCUAAUUCAAUUGUAUUGUUUCCAAUUGAAAUUAGUGACUUAUUUUAUAAAUUGAUUAAAUUAUAUACUCAUUGGAUAGAUUGAAAACAUUAGGGAGCUAAAGUAUUAUUAUCAAUUUAAUUUAUUUUAAAAAAUUUCUAAUUGAAAAAAAUAUAAAUCAAUGUAAUAUAACAUCGUCACUAGCAUUAAAAAUACUUACGAAAACAAUAUAUAGUAACAAUUAUCAACAUUUUCAUAAACAUUUUAUGUGAUUUUUUAGAUUCUAUUUAUUAGUUACAUUAACUACGACAAGAAGUUAGAAUAUAAAAUUUAGGUAUUUUGAGGAGCUUUAAUAGAAGAAUCAUCAACAUCUACUUCUAUAAAGAAAGUCAGUGCACUGGCAAUGAAACAACGAUAUCCAAAUAACUUUUUGUUGAAUUGAGUUUAGUUUAUUACUAAAACUUUUGACUAAUAAUACUUUUAUAAUUCGAAAGAAUGAAUGAAUUUUAAUUUUUAAAUUUAUUUAAACUUGGUAAUUUAAUACUUGACUUCAAACAUAAAAGUUUUACUUGUAAUCUUUAAUUAAUUUUAAUUACAUGUACUGAUCUAAUUUAGUUUGAAAUUCUUAAUUGAUUUAUUAAUCCUUAUAUAAUUACAUGUUAUUAUAGUUGCAAUGUCGGAUUCCAUAAUUGAAAAAUAGUGUUUUGAUAUUUGAAUUGCCUUUUGGUUUCUAUUCUUUUCUUAUAAUUAUUUUUGUUUAUAAUACAUAUUCAUAGGGAUAUAGCUCUCCAUGUCUCCCCUCAUUUAAUAUACUUCUUUUUACUUAUAAAUUUUUAUGUUCACUUCAAAAUAUAAAUUUUAAAAUUUAACCCAAAAUAAUAUUAAGUCCUGAAUCCGCACAUAUAGCAAGUUAAGUCACAUCCUUUUAUCUUUUUAUUUUCAUUUUAUAAAUAAAUAAAUAAAUAAUGCAUAUUGAAUUAGGAUCACGCGUCUGAAAUCUUUACGUGAAGAUUUUGUUAAACACCGUGUAAAAAAAUAAUAUGAAUAGUGAAAGCUUAAUAGUAAAAAAAUAAUAUGAAUAGUGCAUUGCGAUCUAUCAAUCGCAAUGCACCGAUGAUUGCAACAAUUAAAAAUCUUGAAAUAUGAUUAUUAUACAAAACGAAAAUGUACAACCACUCAUGAAUUAGAGUUAUUUUUUUUUAGAGAAGAUAAUUCGGGUUUUUAAGAUAGGUUCUUUUUUUAAAAAAAUUAUUAUCCUGAGGAUAUUUGAAUAAUAAUUUUUUAAAUUAAAAAAAUAAAUUUUAAAUAUAUUUUUGUGAGUUUAAAUAACCUCAUUCCCAGCAUAACUACAUGAGCUACGUAGUGCUUAUUUAUUGACAUUAAUAAACUGCAUCAAUUUAUACAAAAUACUGUUUUUCUUCUUCGUUUUUCUUUUUGACAUGUUGUGCUAAUGCUGUUUGUUGGCCUAGAUGGCGAAUAAAAAAUAUGAUAAUAUAUGCUAUCUACAAGCUUAAUUAUGAACGAACAGUUAAUAAUUACCCCAAAGUUCAUAUUUUAUAAUAGGUGUAGAAUCUUUUCACUCUAAUAAGUUUAUCUUCAAUUAUUUAUCACUAGUUUAGUUAAAUAAUGCACGUCAAUGUUGAAUUGACAUCCGCGAAUAUCACCUUUGCACUUUUAAAUCAAAUAAUCAAUGGCCAUCAAAUGAAGCGAAAUAAAUGGUUAAACUAAUUUAUGUUAAAACAAAUUAUUGUUGAAUAGAGUAGUGAUAGAUGAUAUCCCAAAUUUUUGGGUUCCUAAGGAAUAAUCAUUGUCAAAUUAUUAAACCGAACCUUACAUUCAGGAAUGAUAAAGAUUGAAGACCAAUAUCUGCAACAUUAACUCUUGUCAUACAUAAGCAAGAACAAAAAAAAUAAAAAAUCAUUGAAUUAUAUUAAUACAUGAAACAGAAAGGCCAAAAAUUAAACCCAAAUGAAUAUACAGUGAAAGGAAAUCGCAGUUGUAAUGUAACGCAUAUUCACAAAAGCUUUGUUGAUGAAGUCUAGUACUCUAAUGAUACUUUAUAAUGUGGGGGCAGAGCAGUAAAUUUCAAAGAAAUAAUUUUCUCUUUUGAUGUUUUGUCGUUAUUGUUGACUGAGACGAGAAAGAAAUAAUUGCUCGUUUGGAUAUUCUCUAUAUUGUAAAAGAAUUGCUUAUUAGAAUUGCUUAUUAGAAUUGCUUCAAAGCAGUUUUACCAGUUAUAAUUCAUCAGCUCCUACUCUUUGCGUUCAAUUCUCAAUCAAGAAACCCUCUCCUGACUUUCAGCUUUUAACCUCGAACACGCUCUGAUUCUGUUUAUUGUACCCACUGCUAUUGCUAGCUGUUCCCUUAUUUUGCUUUGCUCCCUUCUGCCAUCAGCUCUCUGUAUACUCAUUGGAUCAAGAAGCCCUUUUCAAUUUUCUGAUCUCAACAACACUUUGAUUCUCAUCUAUUACACUGAUUUUUUUUCCUUGUUUUGCUCAAAUACAAUUUCUCUCCCUAAUUUUGUCCCGUUCCCUUUCGCCGCCAUCUGUUUGUUCUUCGCUUCUUCAUUGAUUAACAAUUGUCCAGUCGUUUCACCUGUUCUUUUUCUGUUCCUUUCACUUCAGAUCAAUCCAUCCUCGCACAACCCCCCCCCCCCCCCCCAAAAAAAAAAAAGAAAAAAGAAAAAAGAUUGAAGGUGAUGGAAUGCAUUGUUACUGUCGUUUUAGAGGUUGUAAAAUGCUUGGCUCCUCCAACACAACAACAACUUCGUUAUUUGCGUAGUUCCAAUGCCAACUUUGAGAAUCUCAAGGCUGAAAUCGAGAAUCUUAAGGAUAAAAUUAGGAGCAUUCAGCGCAGAGUCUCAGAGGCUGAAAGAAAAGGAGAAAAGAUUGAAGAGGAGCUUGAGAAAUGGCUGGUUAAUGCGAAUAAGAUCAUUGAGCAUGCAGACAAAUUCAUUGACGACGAGGAGGCAACAAAUAAGCGAUGUCUCAAGGGUCUGUGUCCUAAUCUGAAGACCCGCCAUCAGCUUAGCAAGAAAGCAGAGGCAGAGGUGAAGGCAAUUGUCAAAAUCCGAGAAGAAGCUGGGAGAUUUGACGAUAGAAUUUCCUACCGUACGAUUCCGGAGGAGAUAUGGCUCAAGUCUCACAAAGGCUACGAGGCCUUCGAGUCAAGACUUUCUACCUUGAAGGCCAUACAAAAUGCAUUGAUCGAUGUUAAUGUUAGUGUCGUUGGGGUGUACGGCAUGGGCGGCAUUGGAAAGACGACACUGGUGAAGAAGGUCGCCAGGCAAGCUAUGGAAGAUAAACUCUUUGAUAUGGUGGUCUUUUCAGAGGUUUCGCAAACUCCAGACAUAAAAAAGAUUCAACAGGAAAUUGCCGAGAAGUUGGGCCUGGAGUUGCACGAGGAAGUUGAAUCUGGAAGAGCAAGUAGACUAUUUGAGCUAUUGAGAAAUCACAAGAAGAUCCUUGUCGUUUUAGAUAACAUUUGGAAACACCUUGAUUUGGAGACAGUUGGAAUUCCUUUUGGAGAAGAUCAUAAAGGCUGCAAACUACUGCUGACGGCAAGAGAUCGUAGUGUCCUCUUAAAAAUGGGUUCUAAAGACAACUUUUUGAUAAACAAUUUAAAUGAAGAAGAAGCCUGGAGAUUGUUUAAGAUGAUGGCCGGUGAUGAUGUUGAAAAUCGUGAGUUGAAAUCUACAGCAAUAGACGUCGCCAGGGCAUGUGGAGGUUUGCCCAUUGCCUUGACUACAGUAGCAAAGGCACUGAGAGGCAAGAGUCUGUAUGAAUGGAAGAAUUCCUUGCGAGAACUCCAAACGCCUUCAAUGGUAAACUUCGAAGGGGUAUCUGCAGAGACUUAUUCAAGUAUUGAGCUCAGUUUCAACCAUUUAAAAGGUGAGCAGCUCAAGAAAAUUUUUCUGCUCUGUAGUCUAAUGGAGAGCCAUAUUACUUUGGACUUGUUUAAGUACUCCAUGGGUUUGGGUAUAUUUAAAGGAGUCAAUAAGAUGGAAGAUGCACGAGACAAAUUAUAUGCAUUGGUCCAUGAACUUAGAGACUCUUGUUUGUUGCUUGAGGAUGAUAGCAAUGAACGAUUUUCAAUGCAUGAUGUUGUUUGUGAUGUCGCAAUAUCAAUUGCAUGCCGCCACCAACAUGUGUUUUUGGUGAGAAAUGAUGAGGAUGUGUGGGACUGGCCAGAUGAGGAUGCACUUCGAAAAUGCAAUGCUAUCUCUUUAAUAAAAAAUAGUAAUUGUGAAUUUCCUGAAGGAUUAGAAUGCCCAAACCUUGAACUUUUAUAUAUUUCUCUCAAAGAUUCUUCUCUUGAAAUCAAUAUUCCUGAGAACUUUUUUGUAGGGAUGAAAAAGCUUAGAGUUCUAGAUUUUACUCGAAAGCUGUUUUCUUCAUUUCCAUCUUCAAUUGAUCUUCUAGUAAAUCUUCACACACUAUGUCUGGAUCAAAGUGCGUUGGGGGACAUAGCAAUCAUUGGGAAGUUGAAGAAUCUAGAAGUCCUUAGCUUUUUGAUGUCUGAUAUUAUGCAGUUGCCAGAAGAACUAGGUCAAUUGAAUAAGUUGAGAUUGUUAGAUUUAACCAAUUGUUUCCAUCUAAAAGUUAUUGCGCCCAAUCUCAUAUCAAGCUUAACUCGAUUAGAAGAUCUGUAUAUGGGUAAUUGCUCCAUUGAAUGGGAGGUUGAAAGAGCCAACAGCAAAAGAAGUAAUGCUAGCCUUGACGAAUUGAUGCAUUUACCUCGGCUAACCACUCUAGAAAUUGACGUUAAAAAUGACAGUAUGUUACCAGAAGGUUUUUUGGCCAGAAAGCUCGAAAGGUUCAAAAUAUCUAUUGGAAAUGAGUCAUUCAUGCCUCCCAAGAGUGUUAGACAAGCUUGGUUUAAAAGUCGGCCGCGCUUUUCGAUCCACAGUUAUCGCAAGAGUGUAAGAGCAUUGAAGCUCAAGCUUGAUUUUAUGGACAUUUGCUCCAUGAAAUUGCAGGGCAUCAAUAACGUUGAAUACUUAUGGUUGGACAAGCUGCAAGGCACUGAGAAUGUUCUUUUCAAUUUGGACACGGAGAGCUUUUCACAAUUGAAGCUUCUCUGGGUUCAAAAUAAUCCUGACUUCUUUUGCAUCGCCGAUUCAAGGGCGAUGGUCGCUUGUGAUGCCUAUAGCUUAUUUUUAACUUUGAAAAAUAUGACAAAGCAUCGAUAAAUUAAUACUCAAUAAAUUAAAAACUUUUAUUAUACAAUAAUCUUUGCUAGUCUAGACUAAGGGAUCAAUGUGGUAGAUUAAUAAUUAUAUGAACUGUUUUAGGUAUAGCAUUUCUAAAAGAAUCCUUAGUCUUUCCAUAUAAAAGAACUUACAAAAUAAAUUAGUAAUUUAUUAUUGUGCAAUAAAAUAAUUUCGUUUUUUUCCCUAAUUUCUUUUUUACCUCUAAAAUUAGCAUAUAAAAAAUCAUUUAAUAAAUUUUAUCAAUAAUUCAAUUUUUUUUUUAAAAUAUAAUAUAAAAUAAAUACUAUAAAAUCACUGUGUGUGACCAUAGAUCAUCAAUUGACCUUAUUAGUUAUUUUGAUUGAUGAUGAUAUCUUACCCAACUUGACGGCACUAUCACUAAGUGGAAAAGAUGUGAAGAUGAUUUUGCAGGCCGAUUUCCCACAACACCUUUUUGGCAGUCUUAAACAACUAGAGAUUGUUGGAGAUGACUCAGCUUGUUUUCCAAUCUGGAACGUACUGGAGAGAUUUCACAAUCUCGAAAUACUCAUACCGUUUUUGCAUUCCACGAAGAGGUAUUUUGGAUGGAAGGAUGCUUAGAGAAACAUGUGGGGAAGUUGGCAAUGAUAAAAGAAUUAAAGCUGCACCGGCACUAUCAUCUGAUGCAGCUGUGCAAACAAGACUCCAAACUUGGCCCCAUUUUUCAGUAUCUUGAAAUUCUAAAAGUAUAUAAUUGUCAAAGUCUGUUAAUUCUAUUGCCAUCAUCAUCGGUAUCUUUUGGGAACCUAACAAAACUUGUAGCUUUCGAUUGCAAGAAAUUGAUACACUUAGUAACAUCCUCCACAGCAAAAACUCUGGUGCGACUCGUAACAGUUCAAGUAUAUGGAUGCAGAGCAAUGACAGAGGUGGUAAUAAAUGACAAAGACGGGGUUGAAAAAGAAGAGAUUGUUUUCCGCAAAUUGAAGACGUUGGAUCUGCGUGAUUUAGAUAGCCUCACAAGUUUCUGCUCUGCCAAUUACACCUUCAAAUUCCCAUCUUUGCAAGAUUUGUGGGUGAUUGGUUGUCCCAAGAUGAAGAUUUUCACUACAGGAGAAUCAAUCACGCCUCCAAGAGUAAAUGUCCGGUAUGGAGAGACAGCGGAUCAACGGCGCUGGGCUAAUAAUGAUCUAAACUCAACCAUACAACAAUUACAUGCUGAGAAGGUACGUAUAUACAUGUAUAUACAUCUUUACAAAAUUUGCUUUCUUAAAUACAAUAUAGAUAAGAUAUUUGAUGAAUAAGAAUUUUACUUUCAGCUGUUGGCGGUGCAGUCGGCGAUCUCUACCCAGUACUAAUUUCAUAGGCUUCUUAUGACUUGGGAGUUGUGAAUUUUUAGAAGAAAGCCUCAGCUGGUAAUUAAUUUUUAUUUCAUUUAUUUGAUCUCAUGGCUUGUUUCGCAAUUUCAUCUGAAUUAUUUAGAAUGGGUCAAUCGGCUUACUGUUAAAUUUGGAAUGCAAUUUUAAUGAUUCGUUCAGACUUUUGUGGACAGAUUUUGCAUCAUUGAAUGUCUUCUAGUCUAGUUUAAUUUGAGUAUUUUUUUUCUUUUUUUCUUUUUUUGAGAGUUCCCCUUGUUUUCUAAAAUUUUAUAAUUCCUUGCAUACUUUGUAUGAUAAAAUUUCAUUAAAAGCCUUCAUAUUUUAUAAUUCCUUGAAAACAUCAUUGCUGUUCUGUUAUUUUAGUUUGUUCAUUUAGUUUGGUUUGCUUCACACCUAUCUUUGUUUGGAAACUUUUUUUUAUUUUUUUGAUGAUCUUUCCAAAUGCUCUCCCCUAUGAACACAUAAUUAAGACCAGCUGAAAAUCAUUCAUCGGAUAAAAAAUAAAAAAUAAACAAAAUCUAAUCAGAGCAUUAUGCCUAGAACAAAUCCUUAGACCAUCAAAGCAAAACUCUUCGCUAUGAAAAACUAUAUUGUGGAAAUAUUGUUUGAAAACGUUGGAUACCAAGAAAGGGACUAAUCUGGUCUAGUUUUAUGAGAAGUGCAGAAGAACAGUAUUUUCUCUGUUGUUCCUAUUAAAAUUCUUUACUAUGUGAUUGUAGAAUGUCUGGAUACUGAUGAAGAUUCAGGUAACUCUUCUCCUGUGCAUCAUUUGAAAUAAGUUUUUUUUUUUUUUUUGGUAAUAUCUCCUACUGGGUUAUAGUUCAUACAAAGAGAAAUUCUUAAAUCAAGCCGGAUACUGGUAGAAACAAGUGGGGAAGUAGGCACUGAUAAAAUGGUUAAUCCUGUCCAGACUUAAUCAUUGAAGCAACUCCAAACUGGACUCCAUUUUAAAUAUCUUGACAUUCUAAGACUAUUUUACAAGCAUUUAAGUCUAUUCACAUGAUCAUCUAUAUCUUUUGGGAAUCUAAAAGAACUGUUGGUUUUCCAUUGCAAGGAAUUGUAACAUCCGUCCACUACAGCAGAAAGUCUAGUGCGACUCGUAUCAAUGAAGGUAGCUGGAUGCAGGGCAAUGACAGAGGUGGUAAUAGGUGACGGAGAAGAAGACGGAGCACCAAAUUUAAAUUCAAAACAAGAGAUUGUUUUCAGCAAAUUGAAGACAUCGAGUCUGUGUGAUUUAGAUAGUCUCACAAGUUUCUGCUCUGCCAAUUACGCUUUCAGAUAAAGAUUCUUGAAAUUGUCCUAUUUACAGCUGACAUUUCCACAAGAGUUAGAGAAAUAUAAAAAAUUCAUUAAUCGUUAGUUUUUAAUUUCAUUAUUCAAUGAAAAGUCCUGUCAAAUUAAAUUGCAAAUCUCAAUGUGCAAGUACCUAAAUUUACAAAAUUUACUUUAAAUUAAUGAAUGAAAGAAUUUAUUUUCUGCUGUUGGAGGAGUCGUCAUCUCUCUCGACAUAGUAUACGAUAUGUUUUGAUCCCAUAGGCUUUUUAAUAUAUUACCUUGUGUUGUUUGAUCUCUAGGUUUAUUUGCAAUGCGUCAGUUGGUUUAUUUGUUAAUUUUGGAAUGAAGUUGAUGCAGCUGAUGGUUGCAUAGGAUGAGUAGGAUAUCACUCCUAGAUCAUAACUUGAUCUAACAAUAUUGUGUAGGUCUUUUGUGACUCCAACAAUAAAAAAACUCAAUAUUUUUUUUAUAGAGCAAUAUUUGUUAAAGCAUGAAGAAAGGCAGAAAUAUUGUAAAUCCAUCUCAACUUUUCUGUUUAUUGUGGUCGCUGCUAGCGCUGGCUGUUUUCUUAUUUAACUUUGUUCCCUUUUGCCAUCAGCUCUUUGCAUUUUCAUUGGAUCAAGCGACCCUUUUCUUGCUUCAAUUUCUGAUCUCAAAAGCACUUUGAUUCUCUUCUAUAAUUCUGUUACACUGAUUUUCUCCUUAUUUUGUACAAAUAUCAUUUCUCUUUCCCAUUUAGCCUUGAUUUGCUUCAACUUGACUAUCAAUUGCCAAGUUGACCCUGUUGUAUUUUUAUUUUGUUCACUUCAAAUAGACCCAAAAAAAAAAAGAGAUGUUGAAUAAAGCCUAAAAUCUAAUUUGAUUUUUAAUCUGAUUUAGCUAAGAUGUCCAAUUUAAUAUUAAUAGCAAUGUUAAGGAUUCUAAUAAUUGGGUCCCAACUGAUAUGAUAGUCAUUUAUUAGAUGAUCGAAAUAUUAAUUUUACUAAUUAUGAAAUUCAUUAUCUAAUAAAAAAUGACACAUAACAAUUGGGUCUCAAGUUAGAAUUCAAAUAUUGGAAUUCUUAACAUUAUUUUAAUAUUAAAAAAUUCAUCAAAAUAAUAUAUAUUAUCUAAAAAAAAUAAAAAAUCUAAAACCAUAGAUUUACCCUUCAAUCUUCGUGAUUUGGCUGAUUUCUUUUAAAGCUUUGGUUUCUUUGGAAGUGCAACGAGAAAUAGUAAUAAGAUUAAAAAAGCAAUGAAGUAAAACUUUAAAAUUUUUAUUUUUUUAUAUUUUUAUGGGUCAUUUUACCGGCACUGGCGUUUGAUUUUCUGACUAAGCUACUGUUUAGUUCUAAGUUUUCAAUUACCCGGACUGCUCUGUUUUGUGUAUCAUCGACACAAUAAGGCUUAGCAUUUAAAAGUCGGCAGCCACGCAACUUCUUGGAAUCUUUGUGCAAGUGUUGGAUAUCGACUGUUCGAUAAUGAUGGCAGCAUUUGACUGGAGUGUAAUUGACGCAGUGGAAUAAGGAUCACAUGUCUCAAACUUUUGGUGAAGAUAUUGUCAGAUAUUUUAUUGAUUAAAGGAUCACAAAUAAUGGAUAUUGGAUGAGAAUCACAUGUUUUAUGGGAUUUACUAUGUUGCAACAGUGAUACCAUACCACUGUUUUUGUCAUUAUUCAUUGCGGCCGUUGGAUGGUAACUUAUUUAAUCUAAUGGUUUAAAUUAGUUAAUGGAGAAAUGACGCGGCAACUUACAACCCUUGCAGCCGGUUCUGUAUUGAUCUAAUAGCAUGGAGUAGUAAGCGUGCGUUUCAAAGAUGCUAAGAUACACUAAAUCCCACUAUUUCCAUACUCAUAAUCACAAGCUUACCUCAAAAAAUGAAGGGAGAAUACGAUGAAGAAGAAGAUGGCCAGUGUUUUACGCCGUUCGCCGGCAACCAGUUAGGUUUACGAUGGUGGCUAGUAACACGGAGUCCAGCGAAUAGUAGCAUACCGAACGGCUCUUUACCGUCACGUGGUUAGUAACAUAUGUGACCGCAGUGUGGCCGUCACAUAAAAGGUAUUGGGGUUACAAAGUUAGUGAUAUACGUAAUGGCUGCUUUUGCAUUCACAUUAGGGGUCACAUAUACCCUAUUUUUCUUGUAGUACAUGGUAAAUUCUAUUUGAAAAUUGCUAAGUAUUUUAGAUUUGUACAAAUUCAUUUUUGUGUGCUGGUGCCUGGUUGGAUAAUAAUAUAUAAUAAAUUAAAUUUUUGGUGUAAUUUUCACAAUAUUGUAUUAUAAAUAUGUAUCGUUGAGAGGUUUUGAAAUCGUUUUGAUUGAUCAUAAUUGAUAUUUCCACAGUUGUAAAAGAUGCCAGAGAAAAUUUGAUUAUCUUAAGAAAUGAGUGCAUGAGAUAUGAAAUCAACCAUACCGUAAAAUCAAAUUUUAUCGUGUCAUCCUUCUUGGUUCAAAUUUAUGGAAACAAUAAUCAAAUGCAUCCAUGAACUAGUAUAUUCCAACAUAUGUACCAUCAAAUUUUUGCUAUGUCAUACUUAUGUAUGUGUGUGUGUGUGUGUGUUUGUGUAUAUUGAAAUUUUAAUAACAACAAUUGGGGCAAGCAUAUGUUGGUACUUGAAGAUUUAUAAGCUCCAUUCUUGAAAAAAUAAGGCUUGACUGUUCUCGAUCUAAUUCUUUUUGUUUUAAGUUCUUAAUUAAGCUUUCUUGCUUGUUUUCAAGAGCCAGUUUUGUAAUGAUCGACAAACAUGAUUUGCAUAUAUUGCACUUGGCAUUUAUGUGUCACUUAUUAACUAGAUUUAAAUUUUAUAAAUUAAUUAAGCUGAUUAAUACUUUAUAUGUGCACUAAAUGAUAAAUACUACAUAAAUUGGGACACUAGUAACUACGUAUCCCAACUAUGUAAUAUUUGUUUGUCACAAAACCAAUCAUGGCCUGAUAUUCUAAAUAUUAUUUAGGAUACCAUUUCAAGUCCCAUGAGGGCUCUUUCCGUUAAAAAAAAAAAGUAUGAAAUAGAUGUAGAUUUUUCUUUAGAUAUUAUUACCUUUGGUGGCAAUGGUACGGGAUGAUUUGGGAUUUGACAAUUCCACUCUCAUCUUAAUUAUCAAAUGGAAUGUAAGUAUGGAUAAACUCGUCCUGUUUAUAUACUUGUGAUUAAAAUUAGGACCAAUCUCAAACCGCUCACAAUCAUGUCCCAUCCUAACUAUCCUGAAUGUCUCGAAUGCCUCCCUUUAUUAUCAUUUUAAUUCUCAUUAACAUAUUAGCAAAAUUUCCAUAUAUUAAAAAUAUUAGGGUCUGACUAUCUAUACUUUAAAAAUUACUAUGAACACUCAAUUAUUUUAUACACUCAUCUAAUAAAUUUAAAAAAUUAAGUUUCAUUUUGUACAUUUUUAAAAGUAACAAAAACAUUUUUACAUGAACCUAAUAAGUUUCUUUAAAAAAAAUUAAAUCAAUUAUUUUUAUUUAUUCAAAAUACUAAUAAAACUAUUCAGCAGACCGUGAAAGAAAAUUUUUAAGAAAUUUAGCACAUAAAACGUUGAAAGUUUCAACUAAAUUCUUUAACACAAUUUUAGAAAUUACUUAUUGUUUAUUAAAGAAUGUGUUCACUAAUGUUUUUAAUUUUGUGCAAUCAAAAAAGAAGAAGAAGAAGUUUGGGGUUAAAGAUACAUUUAAUUUUUAGUGUAAAAGUUGUAUCAAUCCUAUAAAAACUAAAAGAUCCAAAAGUUACAAGUUCCAACAUCACCCAAAUAUUACGAUUGUUUUUGGGAAGGUUAAAAGUGAUUUUAAAAAUUAAAAGCUUAUUUUAGUGUUUUAUAAAUUUUUUUUUAGUAAUUACUUUUGGCAAAAUCAUCUCAUCAUACAGUAGAUUUUGAAAAUUAAGAAAGGGAAUAGUUUUUCAAAAUCUAAUUUUGAGAAUCACUUUUAUACUUAAUCCAAUUCUCUCUCUCUCUCUCUCUCUCUCUCUAUAUAUAUAUAUAUAUAUAUAUAUAUAUAUCCUCAUUAUAUAAUAAAAAUCCAAAAUUACCUUUAUUAAUUAAGAAAUAAAAUCAUUAACUUUAAAGAAAUUAUUAUUACCACCAAUUAUAUUGAGAUAACAAAAUAAAUAAUACAAUUUAAUAAUAUACAAUAUUUAUUUUAGUUAUCAAUAAUUAUAUCUACAUAACAAAAAUAUUUUAUAUACAUGUUUGUAAAUGUGUAAAUAAAUUUUAUUUAGCUUUAUAUCCAAUUUAAUCAUUUACAUUCUUGCACCAGUUUAAUAAUAAGAUUUAUGAAACACAUAUGACUGCUUUUUAAACUAAAAGUACUUUUAAAAAUAAAUUUUACUAAAGGUUCACCUAAUUCUCUUCACGAUUGAUCAAUUUCUACAGCAUAGAUAACUGUAAUUAUUUUAAAAGCCAUAGAUUACCAAUAAAAAUGUCUAAAAGUAACAAUAAUAAACCAAAGUAAACGUACAAAAAUUCAUGCAUAAAUUGAUAAUCAACAAAAACAUCCAAAAGUUUUACUCUAAGUUUUCUAUUCAAUUGACAUAACCCUUAAAUUUCAAAAGGCAUAAUCAAUUUUGUGACUAAUCCUAUAAAAUUAGAAAAUUAAAGAAUAUUAUAUACUGAUAAUUAAAUAAUAUACAAUUAAUAAUGUAAAAAAAAAAUCAUGUUAAACAUAUUGUGAACUAAAAUAAUUGGGAGAAUUGGAGUUCCAAGAUAAAUUCCAAUCUAGUCCCAAAUCAACAAUUGGGAUUAAUUUCAAUCUUAAACUCCGAUUACUUUUAAAAUUGGUCCUAAUAAUAUGGACAAAUCCCAUUCUGAUCAGUAUGGAAUCUCAAUCCCAUAACUUUGGGUUUCGAUGGUGUUUAGUUGGAGGGAGGAGAGAGGAAGGAAAUGAAUUCAAAUUCCUUUCACUUUUCUGUUGUUUGGUUUUCACAAAUAUAUGGGAAUUCAAUUUCUAUUGAAAUUUAGUUUUCAUCAAAUUGUGCAUUUUGGAUUCCUCACCGAAGGCUGUAAAAUUCAAAUUCUCCUCCUAUUAGAAAUCAAAUCUUCCAAAAUUGUUCCUCUCAAAUAUUUAUCAAUUAUUUUUAUUCUUAUCAAACAAUUCUUAUUUAUGAUUUUAUUUUUUCAAUUUAAAUCGUCACUAAGGCGUCUAACUAAGGGCCAGUUUGGGAAUACUAUAACUUUUAAAAUAAUUAUUGUUAGUUGUGCUUUAGAAAUAAUCAGCUGUGAAGAAAAUUAAUUAAGUGUUUGGUAAAUUUUGUUUUAAAAAUACUGUGAGUUUUAAAAGCAGUUAUGGACAUUUAGUAAAUUUUACUAUUAAAUUGCUGAGAGAAAACAUAUGACUAAAAUGUAUAUAAUGUAGAUAAGAUUUACUUAUACAUAUAAAAACAUGUACAUAUAAUAUUUUUAAUUGUGUAUUAUAAUAAUUUUUAUUACAAAUAAAAUUUAUAAUAUAUUGAUUUUUUUAUUUUUUUAUCUUGAAACAAUUGAUAAUUAAAUUUGUAAUAUAGUGAAACAAAUUUAAUAAUAAUUCGACCAAUAAACUGAUAUUAAUAUAUUUAUAUAACCAAAUUAACGGGUGAAUUCUAUAAUCGAUUUCUUUUAUUAACAUCUCAUAACUAUGAGAAGUUUUAUAUUUUGAUAAAUGAUCAUACUCAAUUAUGUGCCUUAUUGGAUGAAAGACGGAGAAGGAAUGCCUUACCGGAUUCAAUUCAAUAUACACUUUUUGUUCCCAGGUCUAGCCUUUCGCGGGUACCUCAACAAAAAACUGAAGAGUAAUGGCAACAAGUGAUUGAGUUAAGUAGUUCCUCAUGUAAAAUUAUUGACUCUAGAGAUAUAGUAAUAUGGAGAAGACUAAACUAUUUCGUAUUGAUGAAUUAUAGUAACAAUUUAUUAAAAUAUUGAUUUUGAUUCUAAUUUUAAUAAGGAAGAACACCAAGAACGUUAUCCCUCUAAAUAUGUACUAUAUACAAAAAAUAAUUGUAAAAAAAGGGUAGAAAAAUAAAAGACAACUCAGAAAAUACUAUUUUUUUUAAUUAUAGAAUAUGACAUUGCAACCUAUAAUUACAUGUAAUUAUAUAAAGAUUAAAAAAUCAAUUAAGAAUUUCAAAUUAAAAUAGAUCAAUACAUGUAAUUACAAUCAAUUAAAAAUUGCAAGUAAAACUUUUGAAGUGGAAUACUAAAUUACCCGACUUAAUAAAUUAAACAAUUAAAAUUUAUUCAUCCUUUCAAAUUGUAAAAGUAUUAUUAGUCAAAAGUUUCAAUAAUAAACUAAACUCAAUUCAGCAAAAAGGUAUUUGAGUGCAAUUGUUUCUUUGUUAGGCGCUUUGCCUCUCUUUAAAGAACUAGAUGUUAAUUAUUCUUCUAUCAAAAAAUCCUUAAAAUAAUUAAAUUUUAUUUUCUAACUUGUUCUCUUAGUUUUUUUGAAACUAACAAAUAAAAUCUGAAAAUUCACAUAAAAAUUUUAUGAAAAUAUUGAUAAUUAUUACUAUAUGUUGUUCUGUAAGUACUUUUAAUACUAACAACGAUGUUAUAUUAUAUUGAUAGAUUUUUUUUUCAAUUAGAAGUUUUUAAAAUAAAUUAAAGCAAUAAUAAAAUUUUAGCUCCCUAAUUUUUCAAUCUAUUCAAUAAAUACGUAAUUUAAUCAUUUUAUAAAAUAAGUCACUAAUUGCAAUUGAAAAUAAUAUAAUUGAAUUAGGGACAUAUUUGUAAAUAAAAAAAACUAUUGUUAUAUAAAAUUGAUGAAAACAUAAGGAUAAUUGAGUUAAGGACAUAUUUGAAUAUAAAAUAUUGUUGUACUAAAUCGAUGAAAAUGUAAGGGUAAUUGAGUUAGGGACACAUUUAAAUAUAAAAUAAAAAAUCUAUUGUUAUACCAAAUUGAUAAAAACAUAAAAGUUAUUGAGUUAGGGACGUAUGUGAAAAUAAAAUAUAAACUCUAUUCUUUUACUAAAUUAAUGAAAAUGAAAAAAAGAGGUAUAAACGAUUUUUUCCCACAUGUAGGUCCGCCACUCGUGUUGUAUGAGAAUUGUAAUCCAAAAAUUUUCCCUACAAAACGAUUUUUAAUCGACAGCAAAUUUUCACUACAAAACGAUUUUAAACGAUUUUUGUUUUUUUUCGAUUAAUUUUGAAAUGUUGCAUACAUAACGAGCUGCCAUUGAAAUUAAUGUUAACAACCAAAGUAGAUGCAAAAGGAGAAACAAGCAUCAUGUGCAGUACCCACUGUGAACUACUCACAUUGGAAUAAGUUGUCGGCAGCUGGUCUGUUUGGCCAUUGAUAUUUUGACUAUUCAAUGUUGAUUUUGACCCCACUAAAUUAAGCCAUCAAAAAUUGCUGGGAAGGGAGUAAUAUCUAUUCAUAACUGGAAAUUACUCGCCGUACAAUGAUGAUUGGAGCUGCAUGUAUCAUUUAUUAUUAACAACUAACUUAUGAAAUGCUUUGAAUGUACCUCCUAGGUCGUAUUUACUAUACUGGUUAGGAGAAACUACAAUAUUAAAUUAUUUGAUAAAUACUUAUUAUAAUUUAAAAAAUAUAUUAAUUUUGUCCUCCACUUUAUGAUAAAAAAAUUAUAAUAUAUAUAAAUCAUUCAUUCUAUAAUCUUGAACUUUAUUAAAGUUCCAAAAACUAUUACUCUAUAUGAUAUACUCGGGUGAUGUUAUUACACUAUUAUACAGUACAAAAUAUAUUUGUUUUCUUAAAUUUUAAUAAAGUCUAGGUCUUGGAGAGAAGCGCUUUAUAUAUAUGUAUAUAUAAUGAUUCUCUAGUGACGACAUCCUCAUUUUAACAAAGUGAUGAUAUCACUAACAAACUAAAUAACACACAUUUCAAUACACCAAUUGAUAAAAAAAUCCAGUUUUUAAUGUGUUAAAAUAUAUGUCUUUUGUAUAUUAUUGAUAUUUUCAUUUUAACAAAGUGAAGGUCUCCUCACUAUAGAAGUGCUUUAUAAAUAUUUUCUGUAUUUUUGUAAAAAUUAUUAUUUAAAAGUCAUAUCUUACCAAAGACUAAUAGUUUUUAUUUUAUCACUAUACUGUACUUUUCAAGAUAGAACACCUCAAUACCAUGACCUUAAUUUUGAACUCUCUUGUACAAAGUUGUUGGCGGGUCUAUUUAGUUUAGUCUUUCAACUAUUUGUCGUUUGAACUAAGAUGAUCCGAAUAAAGAUAUAUAUCAAUAAUUUCCUAGUGAAACUUCGGAAAAAUAUAAAAAUCCUCUCAUAUAGUAGCAUUAUUUUAAUUCUCAGCUUGAUUAUGUUUUGAGUUAACUUAUAAAUUAUUUGAAAUAAAAAGAAUAUAAUUUAUUUUUUCCAACGGAAUUUUUUAAAUAAUUUUAUUAGUUUAAUGAGUAAUUAUACACUUACAAAGUUAUGAUAUAAAAUUAUAUCCCUAAAUCCCAAUAAUAUGACACCAAUGAACUACUGCUAUGUGUUUCUUAGUAAUUAACUUUUUAUACUAUUAUUAAUGAGAUAAUUAACUUCAACACCAAUAUAAAAAUUUUAUAUUAAUACAUCCUCUAGCUUUAGACGUUACAGACUCUGUAUGUAACGCAGCAAAUGAGGAGCAUCCACGCGUUGCAGGAGAGAGGAAAAGUUGUUGGAAUUUAGCUGAUACAAGACUAAUUUCCAUUGAGCUGUUACAUACAGAGUCUGUAAGGUAGUUUUAUUAUCAAAUAAUCAUAUGUCAUAAUCGAACCAAGCUACCAGAGCCUACCACUAAAAGAGUGAUUGAAGGGUUUUCCAAGUUUGAAAAUGUUAGUAGCAUUGGCAAAUGGCAACUUCCAGGAAUCUUCCUGCUACAAUCAAGUUGAAUCAACUAUUCAGUGAAAUACGCAAACGGCACAUAGGACCCCGCCACCCGUAAAGUCACAAUCAUUUGUUUAUUUGUCAAUCAAGUUGAAUCAACUUGAAUAAAGCCUAAAAUCUAAUUUUUUAUUUCGUUCACUUCAAAUAGACCCCCCCCCCCCAAAAAAAGAGAUGUUGAAUAAAGCAUAAAAUCUAAUUUGAUUUUUAAUCUGAUUUAGCUAAGAUGUCGAAUUUAAGACUAAGAGCAAUGUUAAGGAUCCCAAUAAUUGAGUCCCAAGUGAUAUGGUAGUCAUUUAUUCUAUGAUCGAAAUAUUAAUUUUACUAAUUAUGAAAUUUAUUAUCUAAUGAAAAAAUCACACAUAUCAAUUGGGUCUCAAGUUAGAUUUCUACUAUUGAAAUUCCUAACAUUUUUCCAAUAUUUAAAAAUUCAUCAAAAUAAUAUCUAUUAUCUAAAAAAAUAAAAUAAAAAUCUAAAACCAUAUAUUUACUUUUCAAUCUUUGGCUGAUUUUUUUUUAAAGUUUUGGUUUCUUUAGAAGUGCAAAGAGAAAUAGUAAUAAGAUUAAAAAAGCAAUGAAGUAAAACUUUAAAAUUUUUAUUUCUUUAUAUUUUCAUCGGUCAUUUUACCGGUACUGGUUUGAUUUUCUGACUAAGCUACUGUUUAGUUCUAAGUCUUGGCAAUUACCCGGACUGCUCUGUUUUGUGUAUCUUCGACACAAUAAGGCUUAGCAUUUAAAAGUCGGCAGCCACGCAACUUCUUGGAAUCUUCGCGCAAGUGUUGGAUAUCGACUGUUCGAUAAUGAUGGCAGCAUUGGACUGGAGUGUAAUUGACGCAGUGGAAUAAGGAUCACAUGUCUCAAACUUCUGGCGAAGAUACUGUCAGAUAUUUUAUUGAUCAAGUAAGGAUCACAAAUAAUUGACGCAGUGUAAUUUGCUUUUUUUGCUACUGAUGUAAGUCUUGCAAUUAUUUUUAAAUAAUGAUAUUAUAAUUAAAAAUCAAGAAAUAUUUAUAAUACUUAAAGACUGAUUCAGAUUAUUAAUUCUUUUAUAUGACUUAAUUAUUAGCUGACAAAUAAUUAAAAAGUCAUGGAACAAUACUUUUAUUCUAAUAUGACACAACUUGUACUUUCAUUCCUAUGCUAAAAUAUAUCUAACUUAUUAAUAGUCAAGAAAUAUAUCUAUUCAACAUAUAUUUGUUAGAAAGAUUAUCUACUAAUUAAUCAUUCAGACAAGAUUACGAGUCUCAACAUAAAGAGUAAUGAUAUAAUCAUAAAUUUUUGUAUAAAUUUAUUUUGUAUAAAUUAAUAUGUCAUAAUAAGAUUGGUUAAAUUAAAUAUCACUUGACUCAUAUAAUUUAUUUUUAUUAUUUUAUAUUUUCAUUCAACUAAUGAAUUAAUGUCAUGUUAAUUUAUACAAAAAUAUUUAUACAAAAAUUUAUAGUUAAUUUAUACUCCAAAUUAAGAUAAAAAUUAAUACAUUGAAAUUCAGAACCCUUUUUUAUUUUUUUUUUCCUUCUGCAGUUUAAAAAGGAGUCGCCCACGAUUAUUGAAAUAAUUUUAUCAGAUUCGCUUGAAAGUAGUUUUACGAGCAAGCGGUUUUUCCCUCUUGAUCCCCGUAUUCGUCAGCUCCUACUCUUUGCCUUCAAUUCUCAGUCAAGAAAACCUCUCCUGAUUUUCGUCUUUUGAUCUCAUACACACUUUGCUUCUGUUCAUCGUGGUCGCUGCUCGUGCUAGCCGUUUUCUUAUUUAGCUUUGUUCCCUUUUGCCAUCAGCUCUUUGCUUUUUCAUUGGAUCAAGCAACCCUUUUCUUGAUUCAAUUUUCUGAUCUCAAAAACACUUUGAUUCUCUUCUGUUACACUGAUUUCCCCCUUGUUUUGUACAAAUAUAAUUUCUUUUUCCAAUUUUGCCUUGUUUUGCUUCUACUUGAUUAUCAAUUGCGCGGUCGUUGACCCUGUUCUAUUUCUAGUUCGUUCCCUUCCCCCCCCCCCCAACCCAAAAAAAAUGGACAUUUUGAAAAGCAUUGUAAACUGCUUGUCUCCUCACGCACAACGCGAAUUUAGUUAUUGGCAUAACUCCGCUGCCAACUUUGAGAAUCUCAAGGCAGAACUCGAUGGGCUCAAGGAUGAAAGAGAAAGCAUUCAGCGCAGAGUUUCUGAGGCUGAAAGAAAAAGUGAAAAGAUUGAAGAGAAGGUUGAGAAAUGGCUGGUUAAUGCGAACAAGAGCAUUGAGCAGGCAGCCAAAUUCAUUCAAGACGAAGAGAAAGCAAAUGAACGAUGUCUCAUGGGGCUGUUUCCUAAUUGGAUUACUCGCUAUCAGCAUGGAAAGAAAGCAGAAACAGAGAAGGAGGCCCUUUUUAAACUCCGAGAAGAAGCUGGGAGAUUUGAUAGAAUUUCCUACCCUACCAUUCCGGAGGAGAUUUGGCUCAAGUCUCACAAAGGCUACGAGGCCUUCGAAUCAAGACUUCCUACUUUGGAGGAUAUAAAAAACGCAUUAAUCAAUGUUAAUGUCAGCAUCAUUGGGGUGUACGGCAUGGGCGGCAUUGGAAAGACGACACUGGUGAAGGAGUUUGCAAGGCGAGCCAUUGAAGACAAGCUUUACGAUAUGGUGGCUUUUUCGGAGGUUACCCAAAGUCCAGACAUAAAAAAGAUCCAAGAGGAAAUUGCGGAAACGUUAGGCCUACAGUUGUCCGAGGAAGCUGAGUCUAGAAGAGCUGGUAGACUAUAUGAAAGAUUGAAGAAUGAGAAGAAGAUCCUUGUGAUUCUGGAUAACAUCUGGAAACCUCUUGAUUUGGGGACUAUUGGAAUUCCUUUUGGAGUUGAGCACAGAGGAUGCAAAUUAUUAUUCACAACAAGAGAUCUUGAUGUGCUGUUAAGGAUGGGAUCUGAAAAAAACUUGUCGAUUGGCAUUUUAAAUGAACAAGAAGCCUGGAGAUUGUUCAAGAUAAUGGCUGGUGAUUAUGUUGAAAAUCGUGAGUUAAAAUCUGCAGCAACAAGUGUAGCCAAGGCAUGCGGAGGUUUGCCUAUUGCCCUAACCACAGUAGCAAAGGCACUGAGAAAAAAAGAGCUGCCUGUGUGGAAGAAUGCCUUGCAAGAGCUCCAAACGCCUUCAGAGGCGAGCGUCGACGAAGGAGUACCAGCAGAGGCAUACUCAACAAUUGAGCUGAGUUACAAGUACUUAAGAGGUGAGCAACUCAAGAAAACUUUUUUACUGUGUAGUCUUAUUACGCCAGCACCAAUUAUGGACUUGUUCAAAUAUAGCAUGGGCUGGGGUGUAUUUAAAAGUGUCCACAAGCUAGAAGAUGCACAUAACAAAUUAGAUGCAUGGGUCCAUCAACUAAGAGACUCUUGUUUGCUGCUUGAGGAUGGUGGCAGUAAAUACUUUUCUAUGCACGACGUUGUUCGCGAUGUUGCCAUUUCAAUUGCAUGUCGUGACAAAAUUGGAUUUGUGGUGAGAAAUGGCCAAAUGCAGAUGAAUUAAAAAAAUAUCUUGCAAUUUCUUUAAAAGAUAGUAUUAUUAAUGACAUUCCUGAAGGGUCCGAAUCUCUACAACUUGAACUUCUACUCAUGUCUCCCAAGAACUCUUUUGCUGUGCCUAAUAUUCCUGAGAACUUCUUCAAAAGGACGAAAAAGCUUCGGGUUUUGGAUUUGACUAGAAUGCGGUUAUUGUCAUUGCCAUCUUCAAUUGGUCUUCUAGUAAAUCUUCAGACACUUUGUCUUAAUCAAACCAUUUUGGGAGGCAUAGACAUAGCCAUUAUUGGAAAGUUGGAAAAUCUAGAAAUCCUCAGCUUCGUGCGGUCUGAUAUGGUGCAAUUGCCCAAAGCACUUGGUCAACUGACUAAGCUAAGGCAGUUAGAUUUAACUGACUGUUUCCGUCUAAAAGUUAUUGCUCCAAAUGUCAUAUCAAGCUUAAUCCGAUUAGAAGAAUUGUAUAUGGGUAAUUGCUCCAUUGAAUGGGAGGUUGAAAGAGCGAACAGCAAAAGAAGUAAUGCUAGCCUUGAUGAAUUGAUGCAUUUACCUCGGCUAACCACUCUAGAAAUUGAUGUUAAAAAUGAGAGUAUGUUACCAGAAGGCUUUUUGGCCAGAAAGCUCGAAAGGUUCAAAAUACAUAUUGGAAAUGGGUUAUUCACACAUCCCAUGCUUUUUAGACAACAGUGGUUUAAAAGUCGGCAGCACUUUUGGAUCAACAGUAAACGCAAGAGUUUAAGAGCAUUGAAGCUCAAGCUUGAUUUUAUGGACAUUUGCUCCAUGAAAUUGCAGGGCAUCAAUAACGUUGAAUACUUAUGGUUGGACAAGCUGCAAGGCAUCGAGAAUGUUCUUUUCAAUUUGGACACGGAGGGCUUUUCACAAUUGAAGCUUCUCUGGGUUCAAAAUAAUCCUGACUUCUUUUGUAUCGUCGAUUCAAGGGAGAUGGUCGCUUGUGAUGCCUUUCCUCUUUUGGAGUCACUUAUCCUUCACAACUUGAUCAACAUGGAGAGGAUAUGUAUUGAUCGGCUCAAAGUAGAGUCUUUCAACGAACUCAAAAACAUAGAAGCAUAUAAUUGUGAUAAAUUGAGUAAUAUCUUUUGGCUCUCUACUACAAAAUGCCUUCCAAGACUUGAGAGAAUUGCAGUUAUUAAUUGCAGCAAGAUGAAAGAGAUUUUUGCAAUUGGGGAAGAAGUUGAUAAUGCAAUUGAGAAGAUAGAGUUUGCUCAAUUAAGAUCUUUGAGUCUGGGGAAUCUUCCAGAGGUUACAAGUUUUUGCCGCGAGGUGGAGACUCCUUCAGCAUCACCAAACAGACAAGUGUCGCAAGAGGAAUCGACGACUAUGUAUAGCUCCAGCGAAAUCACUUUGGAUAUUUCAACUCUGCUUUUCAACGAGAAGGUGCGUAGGCUAACAGAUUUUAUUCUAUCAUGCGUUCUGUUUUGAUGUCAUACGUGGAAAAUAAUUAAAUCAUUUAAAGAAUUGAAAGAAAAUGGAAAAAAGGAUAAAAAGAAUCUCACGCGCUCACUAAUUGAGCUCUUAACAAGUAGUAUGAAUUAGAAUGCAUACUCAGCUGUCAGUUGGAAAUUGAUUCUGACUUGCAUUAAUUUGUAAUCAAAGAAGAAAAUUUCAACAAGUGCUUCCCAUAUGGAUAUUGGAUCUAACGAGAAAUUCUUAUUUUUUUAGGUAGUGUUGCCUAACUUGGAGGCUUUGGAGAUAUCUACAAUUAAUGUCGACAAGAUUUGGCACUACAAUCAUCUUCCGGUCAUGUUUCCUCGCUUUCAAAAUUUAACACGAUUGAUUGUAUACUGCUGUAUCAAAUUAAAAUACAUAUUUUCAGCGUCUAUGAUCGGAAGCCUGAAGCAGCUCCAACACCUAGAAGUAUGCUUAUGUGAGGAUUUACAGGAGAUCAUUUCUGAAAACAGAGCAGAUCAAGUGAUCCCUUAUUUUGUCUUUCCACAGCUCACCACUCUGAGACUCCAAGAUCUACCAAAACUUAGAUGUUUGUACCCUGGAAUGAAUACUUUGGAAUGGCCCGUGCUAGAAAUUCUUUUUGUGUAUGGUUGUGACAAAUUAAAGAUAUUCGCUGCAGAUUUAUCGCAGAAUAAUGAGAAUGAUCAACUUGGUAUUCCUGCACAACAGCCCCUAUUGCCGUUGGAAAAGGUAUGAAGUCAUUUUCUAGAUUUUUUAUCAAUAGCUUAUUUUUAACUUUGAAAAAUAUGACAAAGUAUCGAUAAAUUAAUACUCAAUAAAUUAAAAACUUUUAUUAUACAAUAAUCUUUGCUAGUCUAGACUAAGGGAUCAAUGUCGUAGAUUAAUAAUUAUAUGAACUGUUUUAGGUAUAGCAUUUAUAAAAGAAUCCUUAGUCUUUCCAUAUAGAAGAACUUACAAAAUAAAUUAGUAAUUUAUUAUUGUGCAAUAAAAUAAUUUCGAGCCAGUAUAAAUCAACCUUUUUUCCCUAAUUUCUUUUUUACCUCUAAAAUUAACAUAUAAAAUAAAUUUUAUCAAUAAUUCAAUUUUUUUUAAAAAUAUAAUAUAAAACAAAUACUAUAAAGUCACUGCAUGUGACCGUAGAUCAUCAAUUGACCUCAUUAGUUAUUAUGAUUGAUGAUGAUCAGAUCGUACCCAACUUGAAGAAACUAUCACUAAGUGGAAAAGAUGUGAAGAUGAUUUUGCAGGCCGAUUUUCCACAACACCUUUUUGGCAGUCUUAAACAACUAGAGAUUGUUGGAGAUGACUCAGCUUGUUUUCCAAUCUGGAACGUACUGGAGAGAUUUCACAAUCUUGAAAUGCUCAUACUGCGUUAUUUUUCAUUCAACGAAGAGGAAUUUUCGAAGGAAGGAUGCUUAGAGAAACAUGUGGGGAAGUUGGCAAUGAUAAAAGAAUUACAGCUGCACGGGCACGAUCAUCUUGAGCAGCUGUGCAAACAAGACUCCAAACUUGGCCCCAUUUUUCAGUAUCUUGAAAUUCUAGGAGUAUAUUAUUGUCAAAGUGUGUUAAUUCUAUUGCCAUCAUCAUCGGUAUCUUUUCGGAACCUAACAGAACUUGUAGCUUUCGGUUGCAAGGAAUUGAUACACUUGGUAACAUCCUCCACAGCAAAAACUCUAGUGCAACUCGUCACAGUGAGUAUACAUGGAUGCAGAGCAAUGACAGAGGUGGUAAUAAAUGACAAAGAUGGAGUUGAAAAAGAAGAGAUUGUUUGCUGCAAAUUGAAGAUGUUGGGACUGUUUGAUUUAGAUAGCCUCACAAGUUUCUGCUCUGCCAAUUACACCUUCAAAUUCCCAUCUUUACAAGAUUUGAAUGUGAUUGGUUGUCCCAAGAUGAAGAUUUUCACUACAGGAGAAUCAAUCACGCCUCCAAGAGUAAAUGUCUGGUAUGGAGAGACAGGGGAUCGAUUGCUUUGGACCAAUAAUGAUCUCAACACAACCAUACAACAAUUACAUGCUGAAAAGGUACGGAUAUACAUAGUACUCUCUAUCUCCCAUGGAAACAUUUUACAAAAUUUUUAUUUUAAUAAAAUAUAGAUAAGAUAUUUGUUAUAAAGUAAAAGUUUAAAUUGAUGAAUAAGAAUUUUAUUUUCAGCUGUUGGCGGUGCAGUCGGCGAUCUCUACCCAUUACUAAUUUCAUAGGCUUCUUAUGACUUGGGAGUUGUGAAUUUUUAGAAGAAAGCCUCAGCUGGUAAUUAAUUUUUAUUUCAUUUAUUUGAUCUCAUGGCUUGUUUCGCAAUUUCAUCUGAAUUAUUUAGAAUGGGUCAAUCGGCUUACUGUUAAAUUUGGAAUGCAAUUUUAAUGAUUCGUUCAGACUUUUGUGGACAGAUUUUGCAUCAUUGAAUGUCUUCUAGUCUAGUUUAAUUUGAGUAUUUUUUUCUUUUUUUCUAAAAUUUUAUAAUUCCUUGCAUACUUUGUAUGAUAAAAUUUCAUAAAAAGCCUUCAUAUUUUAUAAUUCCUUGAAAACAUCAUUGUUGUUCUGUUAUUUUAGUUUGUUCAUUUGGUUUGGUUUGCUUCACCCCUAUCUUUCUUUGGAAACUUUUUGUUUUUUUUUUUAUGAUCUUUCCAAAUGCUCUUUCCUAUGAACACAUAAUUAAGAACAGCUGAAAAUCAUUCAUCGGAUAAAAAAUUAAAAAUAAACAAAAUCUAAUCAGAGCAUUAUGCCUAGAACAAAUCCUUAGACCAUCAAAGCCAAACUCUUCGCUAUGAAAAACUAUAUUGUGGAAAUAUUGUUUGAAAACGUUGGACACCAAGAAAGGGACUAAUUUGGUCUAGUUUUAUGAGAAGUAUAGAAGAACGUUGUUUUCUCUGUUUUUCCUGUUAGAACUCUUUACUCUAUGAUUGUAGAAUGUCUGGAUACUGAUGAAGAUUCAGGUAACUCUUCUCCUGUGCAUCAUUUGAAAUAAGUUUUUUUUUUUUUUUUUGGUAAUAUCUCCUACUGGGUUAUAGUUCAUACAAAGAGAAAUUCUUAAAUCAAGCCGGAUACUGGUAGAAACAAGUGGGGAAGUAGGCACUGAUAAAAUGGUUAAUCCUGUCCAGACUUAAUCAUUGAAGCAACUCCAAAUUGGACUCCAUUUUAAAUAUUUUGACAUUCUAAGACUAUUUUACAAGCAUUUAAUGAAUGAAAGUCUAGUGCAGCUCGUAACAAUGAAGGUAGCUGGAUGCAGGGCAAUGACAGAGGUGGUAAUAGGUGACGGAGAAGAAGAUGGAGCACCAAAUUUACUUUAAAUUAAUGAAUGAAAGAAUUUAUUUUCUGCUGUUGGAGGAGUCGUCAUCUCUCUCGACAUAGUAUACGAUAUGUUUUGAUCCCAUAGGCUUUUUAAUAUAUUACCUUGUGUUGUUUGAUCUCUAGGUUUAUUUUAUCGUUUCAUCUUAUUAUUUGCAAUGCGUCAGUUGGUUUAUUUGUUAAUUUUGGAAUGAAGUUGAGCGGGUAUCUAUUCGGCAAGAAAUUCUGUUUAUUUCCUAGUUAUUUUACAAAGUUUAAGAGAUUUUCUUAUUUUUCUUAUUAUUUUCAAUAUUUUUAUAUUUUUUCUCUAAAUAUAAGAUUUUAAGUAUGAUUUAUUUUAUUUUUCUUAUUUCAGUUAGGAGAACGUUAUUAUGUAAUAAUAUUUUAAGUUUGCCUAUUUUGAUAAAUACAUAAUACUUAGAAUUUGUGUAAAAAGGGUCCAAUACCCUAAUUUUGUUAUUCAAACUUCUAUUAAUAAAAUUUCAGACUUUUUAAAAAAAAUUCUCUAUAUUUUCAAUCUCAACAUCUAUGUUUCCCUUUCAUCAUAAGUUUUAAUGUCUGGUUCUGAGCUAGCUUUAUGUGCAUAUUAAACAUCAUUGAAGGUCUUUUGAUCUAAGUUGUGAUCAAAAAAUUAUGCUCGCUUCUGUCUGGUCGUAUGAAAAUUGUGCAAAAUAAUAUUCUUAUAUAAUUUUUAUCCUCCAUUGUUACAAAAUCCCAAGCUUCGAAUUUGUAAACUUUGAAAGCAUGGCAGAAAACUUAGUACUUAAUAAGGCUCUGGAAUAAGACUCUUUAUGGCUUCAAUAUUUUAUUUAACAUGAAAAUUUCUUUCUAACUAGCAUCAUUGCGAAGAUAAAUUGUGGUAGUUCUGACAAGUACUGCACAAUUAAUGUUACCAGCAAUCAAUUGUUGUGAGCACCGACAACCAUUUUCAUAUUUAAGCCUUAAGAACAGUAACUCAAAAUAUGGCAAGUGGCAACCACAUCAAAUAAUCAAAUUGUUGAUAGAUUUAGAGAGCUUUAAUUUGCUUGAUAUAUAUUUGAAUAUUUCAACAGAUGCAUCUUUUCUCUACUCACGGGGCACGUUGAGUUAGAAACGGUUUGAAUGUCAAUAUUACUCCAAGUGCCUCAACCAAAUUCAGAAUGAAAAAAACCAUCUGGUUACCUGCACUUUAGUUUAAGCAGCUGAUUAAGUUAGUUAGCACCAAGUAAUUCACAUACUGGUGAGAAAUUUCAUUAGUAAAUCAUCAUACCGGGGAGGAAACCAGCAUCUUGACGCUUUUGUGACCAAGAAAAUCUGCACAACCCGAUUAAUCAAGUUGUUACCAAACAAAUGAUCAAUUUAAUCAUGCCUUAAUUUUUUCUUUUUUUUUUUUUGUGCCGGGGGGGGGGGGGGGGGGGGGGGGGGGAAUAAAAAUCGUAACUUCAUUUACAUAUAAUUUUACAAAAUCAAUAGGACACUUACGGAGCACCUCCUACAGUCAUAGCAAGUCCAUUGGCAGCUCCUCUUUGAUGCUGUUCCCGUUAUUGUGGCAUAAACCAACAAAUUAAAUUUAAACUUUGACACAUACAAAAUUUGAUAAGGCUGAAAUCAUGGAAAUGUACUAAACAAAUAAAAGAAAAAAAUAUUUACCACUGCUCUGUUUUGAAGAAGGAAUAAUCCAGUUAUUAUAGCCACCUGAUGUUACAAUUCAGGAAAAGUAAAAAAGAAUUACAAGAAUUCUAAUAAAAAAGACAUAAAAUAAUUUUAUACAUACUUGCUGAUGGAUAAUAUAACCUACGUAUAUGGAUCAAUGAUUAGGAUAUCCACUUACAGAUAAAACAUUCUUCAUCACAGAAGCACAGUUUAUCAAUAAGGCAAGGCUGAACCCAGAUAACAUUGCUAUAAAAGUGUAACUUGUCAAAAGCGCCAUCGAUAAAACCUGUACACACAUAGAAAAUUAUGGGACCAAAACCAUGAAGAAAAGUGUUUUAUAAACAAAUAUGUUUGAAACAAACUAUCAAAUGGUCUAAAUGCCACAUGGUGUGUUCAAAAUUUUACCCCUGCAAUGCGUGUUAUGAUUAUUGGCCCAAUGAUCCUCUCGACGUAAGGGUAUAGAGUGAGUUGAAAAAUAAGGAGGCUGAAUCUUGUAGUAAGUUCAAAAUGAGGACAAUCAUCAAGCAUGUGAUGGUGUCAAUGUAGUCAUUAUAAGAGAAGCGAAAGUUAUAUUUUAUAGUCUCACCAAUAAGAAAAUUUGAAGUUAUGGGAGAGUUGCUAUUACAUGUACAAUUCAGCCUGAAAAGAGAGCUAAAGGCUACGUACCGGAAUCCAGCAAGAAGCAAUAGUUACCGCAAAAGCAAAGAGUGACAUACAGAGACAGGGCAGAGAUGAAUUCAGUCAGCUGAAUCAAUUGAAGAGUGAAGUGCCAGCUCAGCUGAAGUUAGUUAGACACGUUUAGAUCAUAUUCAGUUAGUUUCUUCAUUUUCUGUUAAGCUGUAAACAGCUGAGUAUAAAUACAAGCAUCUUGUAAUCAUUGAAGUUUUAAGCAAAAUAAAAUAAAGCAUUUGAUUUCAUAAGUCUUUUACAAUUUUCUCAGCACUUGAAAAUACAUUUUCUCAGUAACCAAACAGUCUAUUCAUUCAAGCUUUUAAGCUUUCAAACAUGGUAUCAGAGCCAUACAGAGCUAGUUCCAGUAAUCAACAGUCAAGCUUUCGUAAUCAAACAACAAACAACACAAAUCAACCUACUCAAAUCAACUUCUCUUUUACUAAUCCUAUCAAGCUAGAUCGAUCAAAUUACUUACUCUGGCGUUCUCAAGUUCUAGCUUCAAUAAGAGGCAAUCGUUUGGAAGAUUUCGUCAUAGGAGACAGAUCAGUACCUGAUAAGUGUCUUCUGUUAACUGAAGCAGAUGGAUCUAUACAACAAAUUGAAAAUCUAGAAUAUCAGAUCUGGAGAUCACAGGAUUAGACACUUCUUGAUUGGCUACUGUCGUCAUUAAGUGAAGGUAUCUUAAGUCUUGUUAUCAAUUCUGAGAGUUCUUUUGAUAUAUGGAAAACUUUGGAAAAGAAAUUUGGAGUUCAAUCUAAAGCUCGACUGCUUCAGCUCAUAUAUGAACUAAACACUAUUAAAAAGGAAGCUCUUAGUGUUGAAGAUUAUUGUAUUAAAAUGAAAGCAAUAGCUGAUAAGCUGGCCAGUGCUGGUAGUUCCAUUACAGAGAAGGAUCUUAUGUUAACUAUUCUUAAUGGAUUAGGACCAGGAUAUCGUGAUAUUGCUACAUUUAUAACUGGUUCACAAAUGGAAUUUGAUGAUGUUUAUGCACUGUUACUCACUCAUGAGACUAGAUUAGAGCAGGAGCAAGGUGACAAAAGUAUGUUUAAUGCAAACUAUGCAUAUACGAAUGCAUAUUAUCCUAGAGCUUAUUUUGCACAGCCUAGAGGAAGUUUUAAACGAGGAGGUUAUUCUGGUGGUAGAACUCCUUUCUUUGGCAGAGGAAAUAUGAAUUACUCUCCAAGAAUGUUUAAUGGAGGUUUUAAAAAUGGAUAUGGCAGAGGAUUUUUUUCCUGGAAACAACUGAUUUCAAUCAUUUUCCAGCUCCUAGGAAUCCAGUACCUAGGAACUCAUCUUUUCUAACUAGAAAUGGAUCUGCUAACAUGAGUGGAUCACAAGGAAGUUUUAAUAAUGCUGGGGAGCUGGUAUGUCAGAUUUGCUUUAAGAGUGGUCAUACUGCUGAUGUCUGUUGGCAUAGAUUUGUUGAAGACUUUGUACCUGUUCCAAGAGGUUUUGGCAGGGGAAAAACACCAAGAGCAGCAUAUUUCUCAAACUUUGAUGGCUCUACUUCUAAUCCAGAUUUUGGCUAUGAAAAUCUUAAUAAUAUGUUUCCAGGUUAUGAUUCUAUGUCUGGCAAUAGUUAUUAUUAUGGAAUGGAUAGAUACACUUCUGGAGCAGCUGGAACAGCCUUUAUGGCUAAUUUUGAAGGAACUGCUGAUGAUGGAUGGUAUCUGGAUAGUGGGGCAACUCACCAUUUAACCAACAACAUGGAGAAUUUGCAGAUCAAUGAAGAGUUUAAAGGUACUGAUCAGCUUAUCAUUGGAAAUGAUCAAGGUUUGUCUAUUACUCAUGUUGGACAUGCAUUUCUGGUGUUAAGAGCUUCUAAAUCCUUAUCUACACAUGCUAGAAUAACACUUAAAGAUAUGUUACUUGUUCCUUCAAUUACCAAAAAUCUAUUAAGUAUUUCCAAACUCACAUCUGAUAAUCCUGUAUAUGUUGAAUUCUGUGGAAAUGUUUGUUUUGUGAAGGACAUGAAAGGUCAAGUUCUUCUGCAGGGUAUUGCUGAAAAAGGCCUUUACAAGCUGCUGCUGAACUCCAAUUCUCUUUCUUCAUCACCUACAUCCUAUCUUUGUAAAUCCCAGCCAAAUAAACCAGUUUCUAUGUUAUCUGCUUUCAAACACUGUGAUAAUGGUACUCGAGCUUGCUAUCAGUCUGUUUUAAAUAAGUGUAAUGCCAAACCUGAUAUAAUAACUUUGUUACAUAGAAAGUUUGGUCAUCCAAGCUCAAUGACAUUGGUGCAUUUGCUUAAAUCAUGUAAACAAUUUAAAGUCUCUUCAAAAGACAUGUUAUCUUCUGCAAAUACUUUAUGUGAAGCAUGUCAGCUAGGCAAAGUCCAUAAGCAACAUUUCUCAAUAACCGAAACAAAAACAAAAGGGGUAUUAGAAUUGAUCCAUACUGAUCUUUGGGGGCCUUCACCCACUAUGUCUAGAGAUGGAUACCAAUACUACAUUAGUUUUGUGGAUGAUUAUACUAGGUACUCUUGGAUCUAUCCUCUUAAGCUCAAAUCACAAGCAUUUGAAGUUUUUAAAUUGUUCAAAACUCAAGUUGAGAAUCAAUUUGAUACCAAAAUUAAGAUGCUACAAUCUGAUCUUGGGGGAGAGUUUAGAGUGUUUACUGAUUUUCUUAAUCAAAAUCGAAUAAUUUUUAGACACUCAUGUCCUUACACCCAUCACCAGAAUGGUCUUGUUGAGAGGAAACACAGGCAUAUAGUUGAGCUAGGCUUAACUCUCAUGGCUCAAGCAAACCUUCCUCUUCAAUUCUGGUGGGAAGCUGUUCAUACAGCAGUGUAUCAUAUUAACAGAUUGCCUACCCCUGUUAUGAAAUUCUUAUCUCCUUAUGAGAAACUUUUCAAACACAAACCAGAUUACACAUUCCUGAAGUGUUUUGGUUGUCUUUGCUAUCCAUACUUGGGAGAUUUUAACAAACAUAAGUUUGAUUUUCACACUUCUAAAUGCAUCUUUAUUGGAUACAAUCCCUCUUACAAAGGAUACAAGUGCUUAGCAAGUUCUGGUAAAGUCUAUGUUCUUAGACAUGUUAUUUUUUAUGAAAACACAUUCCCUUAUCCAAUAAACACUACAUCUCACUCAUCAGAAAACCCCAUAUCUUCUUAAACCUCAGUGUCUAAUUUCUCUCAACAACAUAUCUAUCAUCUUUCUACAAUGGCCUUACCCAACAGCAGCUUUGAAGGUCUUCAGUCAGCAGGCUCAGCAAGAAAUGAACAAAUUCCCUUUGUUCCCACACAUACAAAUAUUCUGAAUCAACAAGAACAUCCAUCACACACAUCUUUAGAGUUAUCAUCCUCAACCUCACCAUCACCAAACACAUUACCACUACAAUCAUCCAUUCUACAACCAGAGGAAAUUUCUAUUCCACAGAACACAGACCAAAUUCAAACCAGAAGUCAUUCUCAACCAUCUUCUCAUCCAAUGAUUACAAGAUCAAAAUCUGGAAUCUUCAAACCAAAGGUUUAUACAGUCACCUUAGCCAACAAAGAACUAAUACAGUUCAAGAAGCUCUUAGCAGUCAGAAUUGGCAUCAGGCCAUGGUAGAUGAGUAUGAAGCUUUGAUAAAGAAUGAGACUUGGUCACUAGUACCAUUUUCAAAUGCAUACAAAGUAGUUGACAACAAAUGGGUGUUUAGACUCAAGCAAAAUACUGAUGGAAGCAUAGCCAAACACAAGGCCAGGUUGGUUGCCAAAGGUUUUCAGCAAAUUGAAGGUGUAGAUUACUUUGAGACUUUUAGCCCAGUUGUAAAAGCUUCAACAGUAAGGAUUGUUUUGAGUUUAGCUGUGAUGCAUAAAUGGAAAAUAAGGCAAGUGGAUGUGAAUAAUGCCUUUUUGAAUGGAGAAUUGACAGAAGAUUUCUAUAUGGAUCAGCUUGAAGGUUUUAUUGAUCAACAAAAACCCAAUCAUAUAUGUAAGCUGAAGAAGGCCUUGUAUGGCUUGAAGCAAGCUCCUAGAGCUUGGUAUGACAAGCUUAAGAAUUGUCUGAUUGCUACUUGGAAAUUUCAGAAUUCAAAGGCUGAUACCUCUCUCUUUUUCAAAGAAGUGCAAGGCUCAAUGACACUUAUCGUAAUCUAUGUUGAUGACAUUCUAAUAACAGGACAUGUUAAUGAUGAGCUGGAAAAAUUCAUCUCAGAAUUCAGUAAGACUUUUGCCUUAAAAGACUUGGGAAUUCUAUCAUAUUUUCUGGGGAUAGAAGUUUCCUAUGUUGAAGACUGCAUCUAUCUAUCUCAGAAGAAAUAUAUCUUGGAUUUGUUAUCCAAAGCUGAUAUGCAGAAUUGUAAAGGCUGUGACACUCCCAUAGUUACUGGAUCAAAGCUUCAGAAAGAGGUCAAAGGCUGUUUGGCUCAAUAUAUUGAGGAUGCAACAAGCUAUAGAAGCUUAGUUGGAGGUUUACAAUAUCUGGUAUUAACCAGACCAGAGAUAACAUUUGUUGUGCAUAAGUUGAGCCAAUAUGUGACAGCUCCAACACUCCAGCAUGUUAUGGCUUGUAAAAGAGUUCUCAGAUACCUUAAGGAAACUAUAGAUUAUGGUUUGAAGUUUUCAGCAGGUGGGGAAAUGAAGAUCACAGGAUUUACAGAUGCAGAUUGGGCAUGUGAUGUUGAUGACAGAAAAUCAAUAGGAGCAUAUUGCAUCUAUUUUGGAAACAAUCUAAUUUUAUGGUCAUCCAAGAAGCAGGCUGUGGUUACACGAUCCAGUGCAAAGAGUGAAUAUCGUGCUCUGGCUUCUGCAAGUGCAGAGAUAACAUGGAUCCAGUCAUUAUUCAGUGAACUUAGCAUUAAGUGUACUUCAUUACCAACUAUCUGGUGUGAUAAUAUAAGUGCAACAGAGUUAGCUAAGAAUCCAGUUUAUCAUUCAAGGACUAAACACAUUGAACUAGACAUGCACUUUAUUAGAGACAAAGUUUUGGCAAAGGAGUUGGAGAUUAACUAUAUUCCCAACGAGGAGCAAAUUGUUGAUGCUUUGACAAAGCCUCUGACAUUCAUUCACUUCAAUUAUUUCAGGGCCAAACUCAAUGUGCAACCAUGCCCUUGAGUUUGAGGGGGGCUGUCAAGGAAGCUCAUAAUGCAUGGAAGGAUGCAGCACACGUGUGAGAUGAAUGCAGUCAGCUGAAUCAAUUGAAGAGUGAAGUGCCAGCUCAGCUGAAGUUAAUUAGACACGUUUAGAUCAUAUUCAGUUAGUUUCUUCAUUUUCUGUUAAGCUGUAAACAACUGAGUAUAAAUACAAGCAUCUUGUAAUCAUUGAAGUUUUAAGCAAAAUAAAAUAAAGCAUUUGAUUUCAGAAGUCUUUUACAAUUUUCUCAGCACUUGAAAAUACAUUUUUUCAGUAACCAAACAAUUUGUUCAUUCAAGCUUUUAAGCUUUCAAACGGGCAGGAAGUAAGGAAACCUGCAUAAAUUUGUUUUUCAGAAUACCAUCAUUUUGAAAGUACUACAGAAAAAGAAAAGGCUAAUGGCAGUAAAAAUUCACUUACUUUCCAAACAUAGAUUCUUUGGAAAAUGCCUUUGGAUAUUUCUCUGCUGGCUAGAUUGCAAAAUUAUCCACGAAUAUAUAUAAGAACAAUAUUUAUCAAGCCAAACUACUAAAAAUUCAAAAAAAAAUGCCCAUAAUAAUCAAGUAAAAAUUGCAGAACCCGGGCCAGAAAGCCACCCACUGCAGGGCCAAUAAUCAAUCCUGUGCCCCAUGCUGUACUGAGCUGAAAUUAUAUUGUACCUAAAAAUGUAACUUUUAGAGUCUCUAGCCACUGAUGAGGACACGUCUUUUGUCUGCUAGCGGAAAGCGCGUGACGGCAUGUUUUUUGUCAGAGCCUAGAGACGAAGAGGGAAGGAAAAAAAAAUAUCAUUAAUUUUUUUUCCUCUCUCGGUGGGCCCCACGUAAGGUGGGGCUUUGGUUUUUGUCGCAUUCUGUGGAGGGUGUAUAUCUAAAUCAACCCCUUGAAUACGGACACGUGUCGAUCUCAGAGAAACUCACGUUUUGUUGUUGGGACCCAUUAAUUCCCGUAAAAGUCCUAUUCUUAAAACAAGUCGAUACGAUGAUCAAUACUCCGCCUGUGGGUCCCGGCGACGACCCCCUACGCUGGGCAGUACAACACUCAAAAAUCGCCACGUGUUAUAUUUUAAAAAGCUUUGGGGGAGCGAAUCGAUAGAUUUUUUCUUUUCGUGACAAAGCACGCGGGGGGGGGGGCCUCCCUGGUGGAUUUGCCCGCCGUUGAUCAAUUUGUUUGAUGAUAAAGAUUCAAGCAAUCAUACACGAACUUGAUUCAAUGGAGCUUCAAAAGAUUGGCAUUGCAGUGAAGUCCUGAGUCUUCUACUCAUCUUUUAACAACCUUUGCAGAAGCACAACAACAGGGACAAAUUCUGCAUAAUCGGGAAAAGAAAAAUCAGAAGACGUCAUAUUGAAAUGCAUUCAUAUUAAUUUGACAAGAAGAGAAUCAAACGCAGACCUCGUUAAAAAUCUUGUAUGCAUACGCAUAUAAGAGAAGUUCAAUAAUUGCGACGCAGGAUCAUUGCCGAAGCAUUAAACAAAUACGAGGCAGAGAAAGAGGAGCUCUGAGGAAGAGCGUGUUAGUGUGGUAAUACAAUAUCCUCGAUGCUUGCUGAAUGGUGGACAGUGGCGUUGGAAUAUCAUCUAAUAAAAGGAGAGAAAGAGGUGGCAACUGGCAAAGUGGGUGAGUGAAAGUUCAAGGCUGAAGCGGUUGGCUAAACUUUGUUAAAAAGAUGCACAUAUUGAUAAUAAUAUACGACCGUACGUUGUCUGUUAACUUGGAACUCUUUAGCAUUUAAGCGAGUCUCUCUCUCUCUCUCUCUCUCUCUCUCUCUACGAUUGGGAAUUGGGAUUUCGGAUCGGGAUCUACCGUAUUCUCCGUCUAUCCUAUGCAUGUCAUCAUACAUCAGUAAGCGUGCGUGCCUCUGCGUCUCCCCCUCUCCUUUUUACACAACUAUUUACCGUUACUAUUUCUUUGUCAAUUCCCUUAUUUCGUGGUACUUGUAAUAAGACGAAAUUAACAAAGGAAGAAAAUGCUAAGGUACUUCAUUAGGCACAUUUCUCAUGCGUACUUGAAAGUAAUCAGAACCGUUGAUCUUUCCCCGAUGGGCCACCCACUGCAGGGCCAGUAAAAUUUUCUCAAGACCUUUGCAAUCAUACACGAACUUUGCAAUCAUACAUUCCUAAAGUUUGGUGUUUAUGGCGCAAUAUUUCACAUGCAUAUGCCUGGUGUAAGAGAAGUUUGAGCACAAAUAUUUGCAAGAAUUAAAUUGGAAUUAUCAACAAAUACCCCAAUCAAUACCUUUAUUGCUCCAAGUAAACCAUUCAAAGCCCCAAGGAGAAACCUUGUAGCUAUGGCCAUCCAGAAAUUCACACUAAGCCCAAAGAGAGUGUUAAAAAUAACCCUGUGAGCAUUUUAAGACAAAUAAGAAACCCAGAAAUUGCCAACGUAUCAUCAAUUUCAAGCUUAAUCAUUUGAAAAUAGAGGUCACUAACAAUGUGAUGCAUCCUAUUAUUAUUACAGGCUUUCGACCGAAGCGGUCAGCUCCCAUUCCCCACAAAAAAGAUGUUAAAGCUCUGCCAAGCAUGUAUGAAGACCCUUCAAUUUCAUCAAGGUAUUAAGAGGUUUGUCAGGAUGGCUUCUUGAGGAAUUUGAAAUGUUACAUACAUAUAUGUUAAUUAUUUGUCAGGAUGGCUUCAAUUUCAUCAAGGUAUAAAGGCGCAAGUCUGCAGUGUAAAACCCUUGUACAGUACCUUUACAGUGUCGUAAAGCCCUCGGUAGAAUGUUUUUACAGAGUUGUAAAGGCGCGAGUCUGCACAUUUGUACCAAAAAAGGACUCCAUACCAUGUGUCAUUUAUUAAACACAAUAAAAUUAUAAAAAUACAUAAAUUAACUCACCCACGUAACCAGCAUAGAAUCCAAUAUCUUCCUCCCUUUUUGCAAUGUGAAAAUCCCUAAUCUGAAAAGAAAUCAUAACAUACUGUUGUGAAAAAGCAAUGAAUUGUUUGAUAGAUAAAACUUGUCUUUUCUUAUAUUUCUAAGAAAAUCAGCAAGCAUGAUAGAAAAAUAUAAAUUUUCUCACUAGUAACUACUCUGGUGAAGGCAACAACAGUCCACUCACCAUAAAAUAAAGAAAGGGAAAGAGAGAUGCGACCGGCAGAACUGAAAAAAAAAAAAUCACCAAAGAAUUAAGGACAAAACUAGAAGAGCACAAUAGGCCAAAAUCAUUGUAAAUGGUUCUCUCAAAAAUCAUUAUAUCGAGUUGAAGUUGAAAAAUUUACCAGUUGCAAGCACAACAAUCUAAAUUAUAAAAAGCUUGCGAAUUGGUAAGCCUCGUUCCGACUCUUUAAGCUUAUCAACCUUACAGCCUGAGCAGUUCUCAUAAUAUUUCUUCUUCAGCAGCGGCUCUCUCACUUUCGCCUCCGCCAUACUUGAAAAAUUUUCAGCUCAAGUAAUCGUCUUAGUCUAUGCAAUCCAAUUUCAAUGCCUAAAUAUAAGUACUAGAAAAUAAGUAACAAAAUCAAUAUGCUUAAGGAUAUAGUAGAACUAUAUAAGUGAUCAUUUAAAGAAUUUUCAAUAGAAUUGUAAAAUCAGUUGAUUUUGCAGCUGGGUCUGUCACCACCAUGGUAAUUAAAAUUAUUGGAUCCCAUGUAAAACAAAAUUUUUUCAUUACAUGCCCUCAUUGCUGACGUCCAAUUAAUCAUUACUCUUGUGAGAAUAAUUUUUGGUGACAAGAACGGCGGCAUCCUAGGACGUGACAAAAUAGUCACAAAAAUCCCUUAUUUUAAAAAAUGAUCAUGAAAAUUUAUCCACGGACACACAAAUUCAGGAUCUAUGUAACUAUUUUUAAAUACAAAAAGAGGUCUAUAUAUAUAUUUGAAAAUAAGGGAUAUUCAUGAUUACCAUGUUAAGCCACGAGAUGUCGUGCUGUUUUUUUAUUUUUCAUUAAAUCGUUGUUACACAAUUCGACAUGUAAAAGUAAUUUUUUUUUUUUGAGAGAUGGUAACAAACAUAGUGACAAAACUAUCAAAGUACCGUCUAAUGAUGAAACUAAUUGUUAAUUAAUUAAUAAAAAUACUAAGGUGACGUUUGUUUUUUAACUUAAUGACUUAAAGUGACUUAACUUAAUUAAUUAAGUUAAUUAGAGGUGUUUGUUUUUAUAACUUAAUGAGACUUUUUAGAUAAUUUUGACUUAAUAAAAUAAGCCAAUUUUUUUAGUUUUUUACUUAAUGGAGAAAUUUGAAUUAAGUCAAUUACUUACUAAUGUCAAAAAUAUCCAUGUUUUAUAAUUUAUUUUUCAUGUCUAUCCCAAAACUCACCCAUAGACAUUUAUCCCACAUAAAAAUAUCCUUGUUUUUUCUUUCUUAUAUUAUAUAUGAUAAAAUUUAAAAUUUAUGGUAUUUUAUAUAUAUAAAUUCCAAAAUAAUUAUGUAUUCACUUGAAUAUAGUUUUACUUAUAAAUGUUAAAAUAUUGUGGUAUUUAAUAUAUUAUUUAUUUGACUUUCAAAUUUAAUAAGGAUACAAAAGUAAAAGUACAUAUUUUCAGUUGAAAAAAACAAACAACUUAAUACUUAUUUUCUGAGAUUCAGACGAAAAAACAAACAUGUUAUUUAGAUUCAGACAUUCAGAUCUAUUCAGAAUUCAGACUAAUUCAGGUCUAUUCAGAUUUCAGACAAAAAAACAAACGCCACCUAAGUGAUUGUAGCAGUUCCGGUCACAGUCACAGUCAAAUACAAUUAGGAUAAUUUAAUUUAAAUAAUGUGUAAUUUAGCGUUAGCCCCAAUUGUUUUGACAUUUUGCAUUGUGCCCCCCAAUCUUCCGACCAUGUCCACCACCCUCAUUUCUUUCAAAUCUAAUGUUAACGGAAAGAGGGGUAGAAUGGUAAUUAACACAAAAUUAAAAUAAUAUAUAUAAUUAAAAAAAAAACCCUUUUUUCCUUCGCCGCCUCUAUAAUUUAAUUUUGGGUUUGAUAUCUUUAGUUUUAAGAUUUUUGAUUAUUGAGUUUCUUUUUAUCGAAUUUUCUUAGUAUGAAUUUAUUUUGUAAUAGAAUUUUACAAUGAAAUUUGCUCUCAGGGAUUUUGGUAUCAUUAGUUUAGGGUUUCUUUCUAUUGGGUUUUAUUUAUUUUGGUGGGAUUAUUGGACUUAUUUUGUAAUGUACUGAUGAAUGUGUGUUUGAUUUUUUUCUUUCACAUUGGAAUCAUGCUUUGCCUCUGAUUUUGUAAUUUACUAGGUUAUAAUCUUGGGUUCGUAAUCCGGAAAAAAAUUGUUUCCAUAUAAUUUUAAAAAUAUUAUAAUAAAUUUUUACUUUUUGAUUUAAAUUUUAUUAGUUGUAAGGGUAUUUUAGUACUUAUAUACCCAAUUCAUUUCAAAACAGGGGGUAGUAUAGUCUUUUAAAUUUAUAACAGCCUAAAUAGUUAGAUUAGUUGAUUUUUUAAUAGAAAUAGGGGGAGGUGCACAUGGUCAAAAGAUGUGGGUGCGCUGUGUGAAAUACUGAACAAUUGGGGGCUGAUACUUAAUUAUCCUUAAAUAAAUUAUUAGUUUAAUGGAAGGAACAAAAUUCAGGAAAAGAGGAAUCAAACUGCAAAAGGAAUUAGGAUACCUGAAAAGAAAGAAUGAAAAUAACUUUUUUUUAAAAUUAUUUAUUUGGACAUUGUGACAAACAAGUGAUGUGCAUUGUUAAUUCUGAUUACCCCAAAAUGUCGAGUCUUUAAAAACGACAACAUUACAUGAUUCAUGAGAAUCCUAUCACUUUGAGAUUAAUUUAAUUAAAAAAAAGUUCCGUUUGCUUAAUACUAAAAUGUCACACUGAUCCAUAGUUGAGCCAAUUAUCUAGUUAAAAGCUACCUCCAUAUUUUUUAUUUUUACCCUAAUGCAUGUUUGAUUCUUUUAAAAUUUUACGUUAUAUAUAUUAAACAAAAAUUAUAAUUUUAAUCAUUGGAAAAUUAAUGACAGACAUCUUUUGAAUAAUUUUUUUUUUUGAAAAAUACAGAGCUAGAGAUAAUGCUAUAAUUGAUUGAAUAAGAAGGCUACAACUUGAUGAUAACCUUAUUGCAAUGUUGCGUGAUCUCAAUAUAUUAUUGGCUUUUGUGUGAGUAAAAGUUGCUGGCUCGUGUUUUACUAAUUUGCCUUUGUAUUUGACUGGCUCGACAAAGAAUCGAUUUACCUCAUACUCAAAUUACAAACAUCAAAACCGGAUCUGUCAUUACGUUAAUUGGCCUCCUAAAAUAAUCAAUCACUUUCUCUUUAGUCUACCAUCCACUCUUUCCAGUCGUUAAUUAUUCUGUACCCAUCAGCUCUUUUAGCUCUUUACGUCGUGAUAGAAACCCUUUUCUUGUUUCCUUCAUCUCAUCUGAAAAACACAAUUGCUUGUCCUAUCGCUGUCUCUUUGUUUUUACUUUCGUUUGGCCUUCUUCGCUUCUACGUUUUUGUCAGGCUUCGAGAUGCUGGAAAUCAUUGUGACUAUCGUCUUGGAACUUGUAAAAUGCUUGGCUCCUCCAACUGCACGCCAACUUGUUUAUUUGCGAAAACGGAACUACAAUGCCAACUUUGAGAAUAUCAAGGCGGAAAUGGAGAAGUUGAAGGUUGAACGUACGAGCAUUCAGCGCAGGGUUUCAGAGGCGAAAGAAAAAGGGAAAGAGAUUGAAGAGAAGGUUGAAAAGUGGCUGGUUAGUGCGAAGUGCGAACGGCAUCAUUGACCGGGCAGCCAAAUUCAUUGAAGAUGAGGAGUCAACGAAUAAGCGCUGUGUGAAGGGCUUGAGUCCUAUUUGGAAGAGUCGCUAUCAGCUUAGCAAGAAAGCAAAGACGGAGGUGAAGGCCAUUAUUGAACUUGGAGAAGAAGUUAAGAAGUUUGAUACUGUUUCCCACCGUACCAUUCGGGAGGAGAUAUGGUUACGAGGCCUUCGAAUCAAGACUUCCUACUUUGCAGUCUAUAAAAAAUGCAUUGACGGAGGCGAAUGUCAGCAUUAUUGGGGUGUACGGCAUAGGCGGCAUUGGAAAGACCACACUGGUGAAGGAGUUUGCUAGGCAAGCCAGGGAAAAGAAGCUGUUGUAUCGGGUGGUUUUAUCAGAGGUUUCAUAAACUCCAGAGAUAAAAAAGAUUCAAGGGGAAAUUGCAGAGAAGUUAGGUCUGGAGUUGUCCGAUGAAGCUGAAUAUAGAAGAGCUAGCAAGCUGUAUGACCGAUUGAAGAGUGAGAAUAAGAUUCUUGUGAUUCUAGAUAAUAUCUGGAAACAUCUUGAAUUGGAGACGGUUGGAAUUCCUUUUGGAAAUAAUCAUAAAGGAUGUAGAUUGUUGCUGACAGCACGAGAUAAUACUGUGCUUUUAAGUAUGGGCUCCAAAGAUAACUUUUUGAUUGGCAAUCUAACUGAACAAGAAGCCUGGAGAUUGUUUAAGAUAAUGAAUGGUGAAGAUGUUGAAAAUUGUAAGUUCAAGUCUACAGCAAUUAAUGUAGUUAAGGCAUGUGGAGGUUUGCCCAUUGCGUUGAGGGCACUGAGAAACAAGAGUCUCCAUGAAUGGAAGAAUGCCUUGCGAGAGCUCCGAACGCCUUCAAUGGUAAACUUCGAAGGUGUGUCUGCAGAGACUUAUUCAAGUAUUGAGCUGAGUUUCAAUUAUUUAAGGGAAAUUAUCAUUUGUAUACCCUUAGUUUACUCCAUUAUCAAAAAUACUACAAUACUUUGAGGGUGUAUCAAUUGUCCACCCUAAGUUGACAAAAUGUAUCAGCUGACCACCAAACCGUUAGUUGCCGUUUAAGUAUGAUGACGUCAGAAGGGUAAUUUGGUCUUUUCAUAUGAUACAAGUGAUAAUUUAAGGGUAUAUAAGUGAUAAAAAGAGAAUUUAAGGGUAUACAAGUGAUAAUUUUCAAGGGUAAGAUUGUCAAUUCACUGUAACUCCGUUAACUUUCAAACGGCAACUAACGGUUUGGUGGUCGGCUGAUACAUUUUGUCAACUAAGGGUGGACGAUUGAUACACCCUCAAAGUGUUGUAAUAUUUUUGAUAAUAGAGCAAAUAUAGGGUAUAUGAAUGAUAAUUUCCCAUUAUUUAAAAGGUGAGCAAGUCAAGAAAAAUUUUCUGCUUUGUCGUCUAGUAGGUAACAGUGUUUGGUUUUCAGACUUAUUUAGAUACUCCAUGGGUUUGGGCAUAUUUCAAGGAGUCAACAUUCCCUUCAUAUUUACCAAAGGUAAGUGAUAAAUCCUACAUAUCCCACUCAAGAAUGCAUAAGUUUCUUCAAUCUCAAGUACCUAAAGUUUUCUUCUACGUUUAUAAAAAUUUCAGCACCAUCUCCCUAUAAUUCUCCAAGCUCACGACAUAGCUAUAUAAGUGUUUAUGUGUUAUGCCAAAACAACACAUGACACCCGUUCACCUAGAACGUACCCAGAGAACACGAGGAGCAGCUACUGAAAAAGCCAUAUUUAUGUGGAAAGAAAACUUCAGCUACUAGCUACCAGAGAGAACUAUGCAUUCCCAAACUGUCCAAGCCUGGACAAUUCAAGAAUUAUUAAUAGACAUAUGAUCCUCACUAUCAUCCAAAGAUGACACUAAUACAACAUGUGUCUAUUAAUAAUUUCUUAAACAAGUCUAAGCUUUCAAUGCACGUAUCAAAAGUUUAAAAUUGAAUCUGAAAUUUGAAUAACACAUAAAUAUCAUAAAUCUCUUCAAUUUAUUCCUGAAACAAUGUAGCAUUAUUUCACACGUCAUUUCUUAAGCAAAACCAUAAAAAAUACAAACGAUAAAUACAUUUUCCCACUGAUGCAGAUUAUGUUUACUGAGUAAUAAGUUUUAUGUCAUUCAUGUUGAAAUACUUCUGCCUAUUCUUUCAACAUAUAACUAGUACGUACACACAAUUAAUAAAUUUAAAAAAAAAAACUGGUGGUGAAUCUUGCAAAAUCUUCCUUUUUUCUUUUUUUUUUCUUUUUCUUCUUUUUUUUGGGGGGGGGGGGUGUGUUGGGGGAACUAUGAAUCUUGCAAAUCCUCAAGAAGCCAUGUUAAGACAAGGCCAGCUUACUAUUAGGGUAUGAAAGAUAAAACCUUUUAUUUCCUUUUCAGAAUAAAAAGGACAUUGACAGUGUUAAAAAAAAUCUAGAGGAUUUCAGGCCUCCAGAUCCUUACAAAUCAAGGAUAUUAAAAAAAAUUACUUAAGAGGAGAAAGGUUAUGCUCAUUUGUAUCUUGUUAGAAGAAAUUGAUCCAAAGCCUCAGUUUUAAUUUGCUUCAUAUAGCCAAUGACUAGGUGUUUAAAAACCAAUGAAUAUUUUUAUAAGAAAUCAACAAUAUUAUUGAAAGAAAAACCAAAUAAAAAUAAUAAAGCCAAUGAAUAGAUCAAGGCUCUUUGUGGUCUAAAACUAAUCAAACUAAGUUGUGGGCAAAGGCGAAUAUGUUUGUUUGGUCAAUAAUAAGCUCAACAAAUCACUAAUAAUCACCUAAUCACUAUUCCUUAUGCUAUGCAAUAUAAUGGCCUGGGUAAUGGCGCCAAGGCAGACAAUAAGUAGCUAGCCAGUUAUGAUAGUUGAUUAACUUAACCUACUGGAAAUCUGAAGACCAAAACGAAGAAGCUUUGUCUAGAACUAGAAUAGGAACGUUCGUACCCAAAACUAAUAUACACAAUUAAGAAACUUGAUUAUAUGUAUAUUUCUGUUGGCCACACUUAAAGAGAAUUUCCAAAAGAUGCUAAGGUACACCAAAUCCCACUAUUUCAUACUCAUAAACACAAAAAACCAUGGUAAAAAUUAAUGACUAUAUCAAAUAAAAUCGGUGAUAGGACGUUGAGAUUAGGACAACUUGAUUUGUAUACCGUAAAAUAACUAUAUCUGCAUGGUGAACUAUAUUUCUGUUAGAACUCUGAAGUUUUCUAUUAAAUUUUUUUCUCUGUUAGGUAAACCACUUAACUGAAGUGCUUAAGCCAAUUUUGACAAUCAUAGACAUAAAAGUAUUAAUAGGCUCAUUCAAGUGAAAUGAGCAUUAUUUCACACAUCCUUUAGGUUUUUAAGUCAUUUAGAAGUCAUUCAUGUUAAAAAAAAAAAAUUCAUAUACUUUCAAUAUAAUUAGAACAUACACAAUUAAUUAAUUAAAUAAAUCUGUUUCAGCUAGUAUAGGAACUUAAUUAAUCAAAGCUAGUAGUUAUAGCUAGGACUUGAACGAGGCACCUUUCAAAGUUCAAGAAGAGCAUCUGAACAUAAUGAAAGCACUUUCUAGAUAUGGUAAUGAUGCUUUACAUCUACAUGCUCUUACACAAUAUGAACUUUCAUUUACUCCAAGCUCUUAUUCUACAAGUCAAUUCAGUUUGUAGAUGCAAGCCAUUGUAAAAACUUUUGUAUUAUAAUUUCUGAAAAUAGAACGUAACAUUAUUAAUAUAGAAUCAGCAAUGUAUAUAACUUAUCAGACAAUAUAACAAGCACUUGGUGAGCAUACAAGAUAAACUAAAAUUUAAUAAUAUGUGGAAUUAAAGAUAAACUAAAAUUUAUGUUUAAACAUAAAUUUAAAGCAAAUCGAAUUGCAAAACAUUAGAAUGGAUGUUGGAAUUAAAGCUAAAUUCAAUAGUAAUUCAAAUGAAUCCAUUUGAACUUUGUAAAUUCCGCAGAACAAAAUUAAUUUGAGUGAGCAAACUCACCAAUGGAACAAGAACACAGGGGCUUCAACUUGUAGGAAUAAAAAAAUAUUGCUGGCGGGACAAAAAUUGACAAUAACGGCUACAAUACGAAUUAAAAAAAAAAUCAAAAUCUAUAAUUACAAGCUAAGUAAGAGAAGAAACUCAUAAUCACAAGCUUACCUCAAAAGAUGAAGGGAGAAUACGAUGAAGAAGAAGAUGCCCGGUGUUUUACGCCGUUCGCCGGCAACCAGUUAGGUUUACGAUGGUGGCUAGUCCAGCGAAUAGUUUUCUAACUGGAAAUAAAUUUAAAUUUCUAAAAUAGUACUAUACCGAACGGCUCUUCACCGUC